rnacentral:lncRNA from 1 species
AACUCCACCACCUCAGCCGCAGACGACGCCGUCUUUAGACCUCGACAACCUCAAAGCUCUAAAAAUCCUCGGCAAAGGCGCGAUGGGCACGGUCUUCUUAGUCCACGACCGGGCAGCUGACCCAACUGCCCGCUGCCCGUUCGCUCUCAAGGUUGUCGACAAAUCUACCCUCCAUGCAAAACACGAAGCUGAAAGACGCGCCCGCUGGGAAAUCCGGGUCCUGUCCCGGCUCUCCCACCCGUUUCUCCCGAAGCUUCUCGGAUCUUUAGAAACCGACGAGUUCCUCGCCUGGGCCGUCCCUUAUUGCCCCGGUGGCGACCUCAAUGUCCUCCGUUACAAGCAAAACGACCGCGUUUUCUCCCCUUCCGUCAUCCGCUUUUACUUGUCAGAAAUCAUUUGCGCCAUCGAGCAUCUCCACAACAUGGGCAUUGCUUACAGAGAUUUGAAACCCGAAAACAUUUUGAUUCGGCAGUCGGGUCACGUGACUCUCACCGACUUCGACCUCUCUCGUAACCUAGUUAAGAAGACCGCCUUCGAGAAACAAUCCCUUAAUAAUAAUAAGUUCCCGGUACUUCCAGUUACCGAGAAUCCUAAACGACACCGUAGAAUCUUAACUCGAUGGCUCCACGCUUUACCCGAGAACAAAACCGGGUUGAAGAAGACAAAAUCGGCCCGGGUCAGCCCAGUGAGUCGACGGCAACAGAGUUUCGACAACGGGGAACGGUCCAACUCGUUUGUCGGGACCGAAGAGUACGUGUCACCUGAAGUAGUACGUGGGGACGGACACGAGUUCGCUGUUGAUUGGUGGGCUUUGGGAAUCUUAACGUACGAGAUGUUGUACGGGACGACGCCGUUUCGGGGGAAGAAUAGGAAGGAGACGUUUCGAAACGUCCUGAUGAAAACGCCGGAGUUCGUUGGGCAACGUACGGCCUUGACGGAUUUGAUACAACGGCUGCUGGAGAAGGAUCCCGUGAAGAGGCUGGGAUAUCUACGUGGCGCGUGCGAGAUCAAGGAGCACGUGUUUUUCAAAGGCGUGAGGUGGGAUCUACUAACGGAUGUGUUACGGCCGCCGUUUAUUCCGUCCAGGGAGGAGAAUGAUUUGACGGAGAAAGCAAUGUCUGGUGGUGGAGUGGAUAUAAGGGAGUAUUUCGAAAACUUGAGGGCUCCUCCUCCGUCAAUGCCGCCGUCACCGUUGCCGUCACCGUCUCAUAGAUCGUUCGCUGAGUAUUAACUGGCCCAUGCGUGGGGAGAAGACACGUGUAAGACGUAGUGUAGAUUUAAUUCUGAUUUUAUGUAAAUAGAAAAAUUAAAAAAAAUAAUGGUAGAACGUGAAUGACGGCGUUAGUGAAUAUGUUAGUCUAUAUAUAUAUAUAUAUAUAUAGUUUAGAUUUUGUAUUAUACGAUUUUUAUAUACGGUUAUGUUUAUACCGUUUUUUGUUUGAGUUGAGUAAUAUACGCGCCAAGUUAUGUCGCGUGAUUUUUACGCUCCGAUAUUGAAAGAUAAGCGUGCAAGAAAGAAAUGCGAGGAAUUGCAAUUUUAUUUUUUGUUUUUUGGGUUUUUUGUUUGGCAAUAUUUUAGAGGAAUCUGGUCCUUUUCAACUUCACAUGAAAGAAAAAGAAAUUCUAAAUUCGUACAUUUAAAUAAGAGUAUGUAUUUGACAAAAUGAUUCUUGAGUCUUGAUUUGAUAGUACUUGUUACGUUUGUUUUUAUCUCAUACGUAUUUAAUAGUAUAAUUAAUUUUGAUCAAAUUUGACAAUUGUGUAUCCUGAUUGAGGGAACAUUGACGGCGACGCUUAUUUUACGUUAUGGUCAUGAAAAUUAUUUUGUUUCUAGAAAUAAUCACACAAUUUGUUUUUUUUUAAACACAAUAAAUUAUCAUUUUGAUAUAUCUCAUAGAAGCAUGUGUGGUUAUUUUUAACCCAAAAAAAAAAAAAGUGUUGGUUCUGAUAAUAAGUAAGUUCAUGUAAUCAAUUUCUAAAACUACAAAAAUGUGAUUGUCCUUUUUAUGUAAUAAACUAAGCUUAUUUACGCAAUGGCCAUGAAAAUUAUUUUUUUUUCUACAAAUAAUCAUAUUUUUUUCUUUUGGCACACAAAUUAUUAUUAUUUUAUAUGUGUGACUAUUUUUAACCAAAAAAAAAAAAAAACGUUAGUUCUAAAAAUAAGGAAGUUUAUGAAAUAAACUAAGCUUAUUGUCCUUUCUAUGGAGUUAACUGAGUUUAUUUAGCAGCCCACGAAUUCGAGGCCGUUCAUUAUUCUCAUGCCAAGCAAAAAGAAUGGUUUGUGUUUUUCACACUUAAAUGGAUGCCAUCUUUGUCCAUAAUUUUACAGCUAAUUCGAUCGUCUUAAAAUUGAAAGUAAAUUUUUGGGUCAUGAUUAUAAUAGUAAAAACAUGCAUCCUCAAUUGAAGAAAAGACCUUGGUGGGCUCAAGAAUUUAAAAUUAAUAAUCAUCAUUUGUCUCAUCGAAAGAUUAUAGUGAUGAUCAUAAUUCUUCUUCCGUGAAGAGUGGUAUUUCGUUGAUUCUGUUGUUAUAGAAAUAAUUUAAUUAUUAAAAAUUAGAUUUUCACAACACGUCUCUACCUAGAUAAAUAAAUUUUGUUUGUCUUGUGAAAAUAAAAACCCAGAUAAUAGAAAAAAAUAUUUAUAUUUAUAUAAAAGAAAUAAAUAGUAUAGGUCACUUGGGGGAAAGAUUACUCUUGAUGGUUGUAGUAAUUUACAAAGAUCAAAGAGAGAAAAAGGUGGACUAAUUGUUAUGAUUACGAGACAAAAUGGUCUAAAGUUACGGGGGCUUUAUGGAGGGUUACUUGCCAAAUUUUAAACUUUAUAAAACAGUGUCACAUGAUUUUCAUCUUUGUUAUCUAAUUAGGCCCAUUAAUAAUAAUGAUAACUUUCCUUUCUUUAAAUUAAAUAAAAAAAAGUAAUUACUUUGCAAUGAGGAAACGUAGUGACCGUAGGUGGCCAACCCCACCAAAAUUAAGCAUAAUUUUCAUGCAAUUAGGUUUUUAGGAUCUUCUUUUUAUUCAAGCAUUCUACUCAUUUAAGACAAUUUAUGCAUAAUCUUCUCUUUAUUUAAGUCUUCUCCCAAUUUAAACCUACCUAAUAUGAUGAUUUACUAUUACGAGAGUAUGAUAUGGGCCUAUACCGCACGAUUUUGCUUUUGAAUUCACUUAGACCUCAUUUAAUUUGAGAAAUGAUUUUACAUAUAUAGUUGCGUAACCUUUUUUAAUUGAGCAAUGUGGACCCAUCUCCAUCUCAUCAAUCUUGCCUCUACUAUUCAUAGCCUCACGAGUGUUGCAUGCAUUUGGAUAUUUUUGUGUAUGAUGAAGAUUUAUCUCUUCGUUAUAUUCUAUUUUAAUUAACUCUCAUAUUAUGAGAGAUUUUGAUCCAUAAAUUUUUAUGAUCUAAGUUGUAUUUGUUGAGAAAUCAGACUACCUAUAUUACUCAGUUUGUAUACAUUUGUUCUUAAGAUCAUAAUAAACAUUAAAUGUUUACUACAACAAAUUCUUAUUUUUUUAAAAAACAUUUUAUGCAAAGUUGAAUUUAGCCAUUUGAAUUUACAAUGUGUCUCACAUUUAUCUCCUCAUCAAUGAACUACCGGUGUAAUCUAAUCCACUAGUCUCUUCGUAAAAAUAGUUGUGAUGAUGUCAAAUGAUUUAUUUUUCCAUAAAAAACGAGUAAAGCGAAAUUGAGUAGGGAUGAUGAAUUGAUGAAAUGUAAAGAAGCAACACAAGUUUGACAUAAUUUUGUCAUUAUGUGUGCAAGGGCCAACCGUGUGCCAAAAAAAUACAGAAAGUUUAAUAACCUUUCAUGGCACAGUGGAUUUAUUGAAAAUUGCUUUUAAUAAAGACGUUCCCAUGUUCUAGUGUCCUCAUUUUUUUCUUUACAUAAUUUAAUAGUGCAUCCGCACUGACUCUAUUAGAAUAUAUAGUUUAAUAAUAUACCACAUGAAAAAAAUAAAAGCGUCCGUAUGAGAGAAAAACUAUAUUUAUAAGAGUAUAUGUUAUAUCACGAUACAAUUUUUGUUAAUAAUAAUUUUUUUUAUUGCAUCAACAACUUAUAUAUGUUAACUUAAUAAAUAUUCUAUAUAAUAUAUGAGAAGUCUAACGAUAAGAUUAUUAUAAAUAAUAAAAAAUUGGCGGUGAUCGUAACAUACUUCUAAUGUAACAUAAGUCAUGACUCAUGCAUCUUUAUUCUUUUGUAUGAGUUCCAUGCACAUGUACACGUUAUAAAUCCUAGAUAACGUCAUUGCUUGCCUAUAUCCUUAGAAGCUAGUUACAUAUUUUAUAACACGUAAGUGUAACAACAACAUUAAUAGUCCAACAUAAAUUCAUAAUUGAUUACAUCACAAUAUCUUGAGAUAUAUACCUAACUGCAGAUCUGUCUGAUUAUUCAUUAUUUUUAAGUGUCUUUUCUAAUAGGUAUAGGCUUUGAAAAUGGUUAAUUUGUUAAGAGUAAGGCUCGCUUAGAUCCUUCUCGAACUAGCUGCUAGUUGUAUUCUUUGCAAUUCUUUUAUUUUAAUAAAUUUAUCAUUCUGUGGGUAUUAAUAUAUUAUAUAUACAACAGGAGAUAUUCGUUAUUUUCAAAAACUUAAAAUUUUUAAAAAUGAGUAAUGCCAUAUUUAUUUAGUUGAAAUAUUUUGUUUAUAUUUUAAAUUAUGUGAAAUGAUAAAACUUAAUAACUAACAAUCACUUAAGCUAAUCAAAUAAUGUCACAUCAAUUGGAAUAUAAAUUAGGUAUCCUAACUAAACUAGUAUAACAUUAUUCUUUAGCAACACGAUGUUAGUAGAAUAUAAAAAAUGAAUGUUUUUUACAUACCUCUGAAUAAUUGAUAUAUAUAUUUGAUAUUCUUAACUCAUCUUAUAUUGGGUCUGUCUAUCUUAUAAAAACUUACGAUCAUUGUAACAUACAACUAUUGUAAGGUAAUUUUUUUUUCAUCUUAUUUUAUAGCUUGUAAAUCUAAAAUCUUUAAGAAUCUGUUUAUAGAAUUUCUCAUAAUUAUAUGAAGUUAACAAAAAUGAUAGGAACUAAUGUAUGAUGCCCUUUUGGAAACAAUUAAUUUGCCGAAUAAUUAUACUAGCAACAAAAAUUCUAUUAGAAAAUAAGUUUAAUUAAAUAAAAUAAGAAAUUAUGAGUUAGUUGGUUGGAUAGGUAAAAUUUCUUGAAUUGAAAUCGGCGAUAAUAAAAUCUCUUUAAUGGAAAUAGUAAAUGGAAAUUUUAAUUUCUAUUUAUGACUCACAGGCCUACAAAGUACUGGAAACCAACUGGUUUUUUGCCAUUCACGAUGUACCUCAACUCCUCAAGUUCUUGGCUUUUUGCAAUUUAAUCACACUGGCCCUCCACAAACCAUCAUAAGAACUUGGUCUGCCUAUAUAGAGAUGUGAGCAUGUAUUUUAUACAUUAUGGUCUUUACAUUCCCUUAUUGACGAACAAAAGGUCCCAUGAUUUUUUGUUUCUAAGCCAAGGAAAUGAUCUAUUUCACUUCAUGCCCAAGAAAGUCGAUCCCUUCUUGAACUCACCUUAUACUCCAAUUUUUCCUAUUGAAAGCUCCACAACGAGCACAAAAUUUUGCUCCAUGUGGGCCAAUUUCUAUCAAUGGUAACCAUUUCUUCCACCUUUUUUCAAGAAACUGCAUGUGCACUGUCUAAGAGCACUCUAUGAUUUGCAUGCCUCGGCGGCAUUAUGUUAUUAUUUGCCCAUUCUUUUAAAUUUAAAUCAAUGUUUGUUGGCCAUUUUGUCCAUAUCUAGACGUAUACAAAACAAUACUUCAUCCCAAUCUCUCGAACUUUAUCGCAGUUGUGGUAUGAGAAUUUUAUUUUUUUAAUAAAUUCCGUUAAGCAUAAAGAAUUAGUAAUUAGAUUUACUUUCCACUAAGAGCUGAGUUCGAAAUCUAAAUUUCUUGUUUUAAGUUAAGAAAUUUUACUAAUUGAAUUAUGUUGCAACCACAUGCAUGGGACUAGAAAUGGGCACAUGAAAGGAAAAAAAAAAAACUGAAAACGAGCAUAUAAACAGUUAACUAUCAUUUAUCGUUCAAUAUUGCCACGGGCAUCUAUAUCUUUUACAAUGAAGCAUUGAAUCAUUGAUUUUUUCUUUUUUGUUAAUUUUUCCUAUUUUUUUUGUCAGAAAAGCAUGCAUUAGUUAAUUUUUCCUAUUUCUUUCAGAAAAGCAUGCAUUAGGCUUCAAAGACUUAUGGAUUGACAAUAAAAAUAGGAUUUAAACUUUGAAAUCUCUGGGCACCUUAAUGAUUUCUUACAGAGACAUUAGAGUUUCUUUAUCUAAAGUUAGAGCUUCUCUUUUUAGUCGGUUCUCAAAGUCUUGAAAAAAAUGGCGCCGGGGCCAGUUGCUUGACUUAAAUUCUUCUCCCUUGGAACCCGAAUGUCUCUUUCAACGUGGCAUCUCACUUUCUCAAUGAAGCAUUACAUUGCACUUAUAAGUUAAUUUCUAUACAUCUUAGGAACCAUCAUUUGGUCAAGAGAACUCAAAAGCAUCUAUUCAGGUCGUCUUCGACAACAAACGGAAGUGGUUUAAUAAUUUUUACAAACUUUCUUUAGAGAUAAUAAAAUGUUAGCUUUACUGUCAAGUGCUAAGGAGUUGUUGCACUUUUUAUACCACAAUUAAUGUAACAAUUAUGUAACAUAAUUCAAUCAAAUGAUAUACGUGUCAAAUAUCGAUAUCAUAUUAGCUGGCAUACGAAUUUUGUAUCUCCUUUUUGUAAAUCUGACAUUAUUCUUUUCAGGAAAAGCUUGCAAGGUCAUCGUUUAUAAGAUUCUUGAUUACCGAGAUAGGUUAAUUUCCUGCGACCAAAGCCUAAACUCACCUUUUGGGUCAAGUUCUAAAGCAAAGGAUUUAAAUGCCUGUAAUUUCUUUUUUUUCUUUUUUUUUUUUUUCCCUAGAACAGCAUAUUCAACUCAGUUACUUUCAAACUCAAAUAAAAGCCAAAACCAAAAGGGUUAUUAUGUUUUCAAUUGGGAAAAAAAAAUUACAGACAGGACCCACUUAUAUAGUUAAUUUUAUCCUUACAAGUUAUGACUAAUGAUUCAACACCUAAUAGUCUAUUACUUGCAGCACAAUUUGGGCAAGAAUUUCUAAUCAAUAAACUAAUGGAAAAAGUAGUAGGAAUUGAAGGGCUUCCUACCGACAAAAGGGACGGUAAAAAAGUUGAUUAGGAAAGUUAAGUUUUAUUAAUUGCUAAUCGACUAUAGACGUCGGCAUAUACUAAUUCUUUAAACCCCGUUGCCCCGUGCAUCAUGAACAGGGCUAGCUAGGAGCUCCUACUUGAAGACAAGUGAGUUAAAUUAGCAAAGGACCAACUUUUGCCUACUACACAAUCAUGCACCAAUACUAGAUAGCAGUCCAGAAUAGUAUUAUAAUGCUAUUUUAGGCAAAUGGGUUUGGCAUGCAAUCACUAUUCGUGUAAUUUAAAGCCAUAGCUAACUUUGUUUUAAAAGAUAAGUAUACUUGCCCCAAGGUUUGAUCAAUUAGUUUUUUAAGUAAUUUCUUUUAACUAACCAUCCGAGCUUAAAUUAAUCUUGAGAGAGGAGUAAAGACUAAGAAAUUGAUUUAGACUUUGCUCACCCUCUUUUUUUUUUUUUUUUGGCAAGAUAAAAAUAAAAUAAAUGAAAAAAAACAAAAGGACAAGUAUGCUUAGCCAUAUGACUUUGUUAAAUAAGUUGAUUGGGUUGUUCUCACUACCUUUGGUCCACAUCUUCUGGGUUAUGUAUAACAUGAAAAAGAGACAAAUGAACCAAGAGACAAAAGCUUGGCCAUAAAUGAAAAUCCAUAAGAGAGCAUCUUUAAUGUACAUUGAAUUCAAAAUAUUUAUGGACACAAUAUAGUAUCAAACUAUCUAUUGCUGACCAAACUGAGCCACGGGUCAGUUUCGUUGCUCAUGGCCCAAAAGCAAAAACAUAUGGCCUAUGCAUUGCUUUUUGUGUUCGGCUUUUAUGGUUUCUUUUGGAAGUGGGUUUGUCCAGGAAGAGAGGUGCUGCUUUUAGAAUCACACUUCUGCAAAUGGACUGUUAAGCUGGAAGUGUAUUUAGUACCAUUCUUGCCUGAAACCUAAAGGCCCACGUUUCGUUAAUAUCUUGAGCUGUUUGCGACUUUGAUUAGUUUCCAUUGAUCUUCAGGCUUGCUUGAAGUUUUAAGUCAUCCCAUCAUUAAUCAGAUAUUUACUCAUUUGACAAUCUCAAGCAACCCUAAACAUAGACCUAGCUAUCAAGUUUUUGAUGAUCCCAUCAUUAGUCCGAUCAACUUCGUCAUUUUAUUAUUCAUCGUUAAAAUUAUAUUGCAUUGCUUCUUGACCAAACUCUAUCAAUUUUACAUUUUAAUAUUUCAAGAUAAUUCUAUUUUUUAAUAGCUUUUUGUUACACGAAAAAAAAAAAAAAUCAUUCCCGUAUGUAAUAUUACAAUAAGAUACGCAUUUUGUAUCCCACAUGAUGUACCAUUUGACAAAUCAUUUAUUAAUAAUUGUUGAUUUAGGGUGCGUUUGAGAUUGAGAUUGGGCAUCUGUAAUUUAAAAGGUACAACACUAAAGUGUUUGGUAAACACUAACUGCUGUAACUUGUAAGAUAUGUUAAUAUGAUUUUUCAAAAAAUAUAUUAUAUCUUUAAUAAUUUUAUCAAAAUUAUUAUUUAAAAUUUAUAUUUACUACAUAUUAUUAAUUUUUUUUAUAGUUACAAUUUUUUUUUCCACAGCAGUUACAACACCUUAAUCUCAAACGAGACCUUAAUAUAGUGAUAAAUAAUCACCUAGUGCGUGAUCAUUAAUGAUAAUGAUACAUAUCUUAAGUAUUAUUAUAUAUAUAUAUAUAUAUUUAGUGAAGAGAAUUGACGAUAAUAAGUUAUCUGAAAAUGAUAUUUUGUGAUGACUUCUAAACUUGGUGAAUUAAUUAGUGAAGGAGACCUCAAAAUAUAAUGCUCGUUUCAUAAUCUAGAUAGUUUGCCUACCAUUGUUAAUAAUGUUAAUAAAUUAGUGAGAGUGAGGAUGAUGAAUAAUGACAAAGACUAAUUUCCUAUCCACGUAAGAGAUGACACUUGCACCAUUAAUUCUCCAUCAAUCUAUCAUUUUCUCUUGAUGCUCAUCUUCAUUUACAUUUCUCUUAUUUUUAUUAAUCAUUCUCUAUUGUUAGUUUUUCGUCUUGGUCACGACGUAUAAUUAUUGAAGUCCUAGAAUAGAAAGAGACUGAAAGGAGUAACUUGUUAUUGUUGUUAUUGUUAUUAUUAUUAUUAUUGAAAUUGCUACAAACUAUAAAUAUAUCUCAAUAUAAAUACAUAUAUUUAUAAUACAAUCCAAAUAUGUGGUAAGCAUUAAUUUAGAAAUAUACUCCCAUUAAUAUCGAAAUUAAUGAGCCCCUGUGAGGGCUCGAUCUCAUGCCACAGGUCCGAACUCACCCCCUCCACAAAUGUUGAGAUAUGUUAAGGGUACGAGUACCACUAACUUGAAUUUUAUCUUUUUAUUACUACCUAUUACAAUAAAUCCAAAUUGUUCUUUGGAACUUUUAUCUCUUUACGUCUACUACUUCGUCAUUCUCCAACAACUCAUAUCCUUUGGCAUUAACGUUUCGUAGUGUCAUUAUUGUCGCAAUUCCUAUCCAAUCACGUAUAGACAGAAAUACUUUAAAUGCCAUGAUUGAGCUUGAGUGAAAGCAAACUUGAAAUUGGAAUGGAAACAAGUAUCUGUUUUUUAUUGUCUGUCUACUUAUCUUGGAAGAAAAACAAUGGCUGAUUUUUUGUUGCUUCUUUUAGGGUGAUGAGUUGAUGAUGAAAGGAUUACUUAUAAGAUGAACAACCAUUUUGCUGUUGAUACGAGCAAUGAAAUCUGCCCACUUGCAUAUAAAUCGAUCAUGCUUAUUUGUUACAUGAAAACAACAUAAACCAACUAAUUUAUUCAUGAGGGAAAUAAGACGAAAGAAUUUCCAAGAACAAAAUUUUCUUUAUUUUCAGAAAAUUAGAGUUAGCUUCUUCUAAUUAAUUAUUGGUAGCUUUCAGAUUGAUAGUAUAGGAUCAAAUUUUGUCCUCUACGUUUUUCAUAAGUAAGGUUUCAGUAUAAAAGGAUUUAGAACAAAACAAUGUACAUUAUCAGACCAGUUAUCACAAUUUCCUUUCUAUGAUAUAGAAUAAUAAAAAAGGCAAACUUCAAUUAAAAUAUGCCUAAAGUUUGUUUUAUAUUAUGGUUGAUGGUAGGAUUUCACAACAAUUGCAAUGAUAUCUUUUAGCAUUAAUUUCAAGAGUUCAUCUUCAACUAAUUAUUGAUGAACUGAUUAAUGAAGCAAUUGAUUACCAUUCAUUGAAUUUUCUAAGGCCUACAUGAUAAACAAAAAUGGACACUCAAUCAGCAUCUUUAUUAAAUUUUUUAUGUUUAUUGUAAAGGUUUAUGUCAAAAAUUUAGAUAUAUUUUAAUAAGUGUAAGUAAAUUAAAAUAUUAGAGAAUUAUUAAUUAAUAUUAUGAGAUCACUGCUCACAUAUUAUUAUUCAUGCAAUAUUCUUUGCAAUAAGUCUUCAUGAGUUACCAUUUAUACUAUCACUGAUUACUGUUUAUAUAAUAUCGUUUACGAGAUACUAUUCAUAGUUACUAUUCAUCAUCACUAUUCAUAAUAUUGCUAAAAUUGUUAUUUAUUCACCUUAAAUCUAUCAAAUAUAUUAGAAACAAUAAAUUGUAGAAAGUCAAGCACAUAGAAGAUUCUUACGUGGUUGGAUCACAAUUCUACAUUCUUCAUAAGGCCACACUUAGAUAUUAAGCAAUUCACUAAGUAAUGAAAAUAUUACAACCUAUUAGAAUCUUACGCAAUCUCUUUUACUCUUGUCGUCACCUAUUGAAUCUAAUUUAGUCGACUUUGCUUAGCAAGCAACACUUGUCUUCAAUUGUGUUUGUUGCUUCCUUGAGAUCCUUUCCACAUAACAAAUGACUAUCUCAUUCCGAAGAGGCUAAAGUAAUCAUUAAUGUCAAAUGAAAGACUUGAUAUGUGAUGUAGGGUGUUGUGUGUUGCGAGCAGUGUACUUUUCAGAGGCUGUAACUUAGGCUACAAGUGUCCGUUUUUGACUUAUAAUGUAUCAUUUCGAAUCUUGCAACGAGAUGAACAAAACCCAAAAUACUUAAUCUCUUAAACAAACUACCCAGAGAAACUGACCACCGAGAUCAAGGGUAUACUUCACGGGCACAUGUGGGGUUCUUUGGUUGAUUUGAGUGAGGUAUUGGAGAGUUGAUGCAUCUUUAGUGACGGGAAGAAUUGUAGCAAGAGUACGAAAAAUUGAGUGUUGCAUUUAAUAUUUAAUACUUACCAACACAUUUUUGUUUUCAUACAAUGCUACACGUGUCUUAAAGUUUUGACACUCAUCUUGUGCAUAAAAAAAGAACAAUGAUAUUUGACCCCUUUAAAUGAUCUCUUUAGCUGCACUUUUUAAUUAACUUCGAGCGGCCACUAAAGAAGCAACCCUAAAUUAUCUCACCACUUAUUAACAAUGGAUUUCUCCCUUCAUCAAUAAGAACAUAGUCAACUUCAUCAACUAUGGCAAAAUGAAAUAGGUUCGGCCUACUUUUUAAGCUAUUCAAUAUUGGUCCAAGUCGUUUUGCCCCGUGGUCGAACUGAAAAUUCUGUUUCUUUCCUAGUCAGUUUUCAAUGUUAAGAUUCUUUCUUAUUUUUCCUGAUUGUUCUAGGAUUUUUAUCUUUUUUUCUAGAACUCGGAUUUAAGUGUCGUUUGUUUUGCUUUUCUUAUUUUGAUUAGAAGAAUUUAAUUAUCAUAUUAGAUUUUCGAUUUUCCUAUUUUGGAUUUGCUUUUUUUCUUGCAAAUUUGUUGUAGUAUAUUUUGAUGAUAUUUUGGUGUUAUUGUGAUGUAUUUGGAGAAUUUGAGAAUGGUUAUGGAGGAAUAAACUUUACAUUAAUAUGAAGAAGUAUAACUUUCUGUAGACUAAUGUAGAAUUUUUGGAUUUUAUAGUCGGUGCUGAUGGGAUUCGGGCUAUUGAGUUGAAGAUACAAGCUACUAAAGAAUAACUUACACCCAAGACUGUGGGAAAAGUUAUGAGCUUUCAUGCAUUGGCAACGUUUUAUAGGAGAUUCAUUCAUGGUUUUAGCACUAGAGCCGCACCUAUUAUAGAGUCCUUAAAGAAAGGAAAGUUCAAAUGGGGAGGAGAAGAAUAGGUGAGUUUUGCUUUAUUAAAGGUCUAUUGCUCCUGUGCUAGCCUUACCCAACUUUGACAAGUUAUUUGAGGUCAAGUGUGAUGCUUCUGGCAAGGGAAUUGGGGUUGUUCUUUCCCAAGAAGGGCAGCCAAUUUGAGUAUAUGAGUGACAGGUUAAAUGAGGCGCAACAGAAAUGGUCUACUUACAACCAAGAGUUUUAUGUCAUCCUUAGGGCAUUGAAGACGUGGGAGCAUUAUUUGACUCAGAAAGAAUUUGUGCUCUUCAACGACCAUCAAGCACUGAAGUACUUUAACAGCCAACAGAAUCUGAUCAAGAUGCACGCGAGAUAAGUGAGUUAUAUACAGAAGUUCACUUUUGUUCUUAAGCACAAAUUUAGGUAGCAGAAUAAAGUGGCAGAUGCGCUUGCGAGUAACUUUACUGGUAACUUGAGUCAAUGAAUUUACUGGCUUUGAGUGCUCAAAAGAGUUGUCUGCUGAUGAUGACAAUUUUAUGCAUAUUUGGGAUCACUGCAUCAAUCAUCAAAAUGCAGAGGAUUUCCUCAUUCAGGAUGGAUACUUAUUUAAGGCCAACUAAUUAUGUGUGCCUCGAAGUUUUUUAAGGGAACAAAUUAUUCACGAGUUACAUGGAGGAAGGAUUGUGCGGACAUCUUGAAUGAGAUAAGACCAAUGCGCUUGUGAAGGAGCGUUAUUAUUGGCCCCAGUUGAGCAGAGAUGUGCGGAAAAUAGUCCAAAGGUGUCGGGUUUGUCAAAAAAGCAAGGGCCAUGCGCAAAAUAUGGGUUUAUCCUUGCUAUUAUCUGUUCCAAAAAAAAUUUGGUUAGAUCUGUCCAUGAAUUUUGUGUUAGAGUUGCCGCGCACAAGGACAGGUCAAGACUUUAUAUUGGUUGUGGUUGAUAAAUUUUCAAAGAUGGCGCGCUUUAUUGCUUGUGAAAAGACUGAAAAUGCUGCUUCAAUAGCGUAUUUGUUCUUUUGAGCAAUAGUGCGUUUGCAUAGUGUUUCAAAAACUAUCACUUCUGACACAGACAUGAAGUUUAUUAACAUGUUCUGGUGCCAUCUCUGGGAUAAGUUUGGAACACAGUUGUAGUUUAGCAGCGAUUUCUAUCCACAGACAGAUGGGCAGGCAGAAGUGGUCAAUCGAACUUUAGGCAACAUGUUGUGGUGUGUUUGUGGUGACAAGCAAUAGAACUGGGAAGCUGCAUUGCCUCAAGUUGUUUGCCUACAAUAACAUGGUGAAUCGAUCUAUUGAGAAGACCCAUUUUAAGAUUAUCUAUACUUGUGUCCCUACGCAAUGUGUGUGAUUUGGUUGUCAUGCCAACAAUAGCUGCAGUUGGAGAUAGCAAAGCAACUGCUAAUACAGGACAAAAGGCUUUGAAGAUUCAUGCCGAGGUACGAGCUCACUUGAAGGUUGUCAAUGCCUAGUACAAGGCUGAAGCGGACAAGCACCGUUGUAAGAAAGUGUUUGUGCGAGGAGAUUUGAUGAUGGCAUAUCUGUGGCAAAGUUGUUUUCCUGACAUUUGCACUAAAUUGGAAAAGGAAAAGUAUGUACCAUUUCGAGCCAAGCGAAAGAUCAAUGAUAAUGCUUAUGUGCUUCAAUUACGGGACAAUUGGAACAUAUCUCACACUUUCAAUGUGGCUGAUCUAUUUGAGUAUCAUCUAGAUGAUGAGGAAUUAUAUGAGCCAAACUCGAGGACGAGUUCUUUUCCAAGUAAGGGGGAUUGAUGUAGGUGUUGUGUGUCGUGAGCAGUGUACCUUUUGGAGGCUGUAACUUGGGUUACAAGUGUCCGUUUUCGGUGUAUAAUAUAUUGUUUCGAAGCUUGCGACGAGACGAACAAAACCCAUAAUGCCUAAGUCAUUUUACCUUGUGGUCAAAUAUAAAAUUUUGUUUCUUUCCUAGUCUUUUUCAGCUUUAGGAUUCUUUCUUAUUUUUCCUAAUUCUUCUAGGAUUUUUAUUUUUUUUAGAACUCAUAUUUAAGUGCCAUUUGUUUUUAUUUUCUUAUUUUGAUUAGGAGAAUUUAAUUAUCAUAUUAGAUUUUGGAUUUGCCUAUUUUGGUAAAUUCGUGAUAUUUAGGCUUGUUAUAAAAGGGGCUGAAAAUCUUAGUUUUAUUCAUUCGGACUUUUCAAUAAAGCUUAUCAUUAUUCAGAAACCUUUGUUUAUUCUAGCAAACUUCUUUAAACGUUUCCAUUUCAUCAAUAUGAAGAAGACUCAAACACCAAAACUGCAUUGAGACAUGAAACACCAUAUGUGGCUAAGAUAAUUUUUCUUCUUGUUCCAUGCUUCGGCUGCUUCUUUUUAUAUAAAAUACGAUGUGUCAUCUUCUUUCUUCAAUGUGUGAAAUACUUCCCUUUUUAUAGGUGCAGUAAUUUACCCAUAACCUAGUAGAGGACUAUUCGGAUAUACUUCCUUAAGCAUUCAAUAUUGCAUAAAUACUUGAUAUAAUUAGUAAUGUAGUAUCACCUUUAUUUGAAACUCUUUGAUAUUUAAUCUCAUAUACAUGCCAAUAUACUUCUUUAUGCCACAAAAAAUAUUCUCUAAUAUUUCACAUAAUCUAAUCUAAUAAAUACUCAAGACUGGACAAAUUCUUAAUACAAAAAAUAAAUAAAUUACAUUUUCAUAGACACAAUAAUGUCAAUAAUAAAAAUCCUCACAGUUCAGUUAGUUAUUAAUUUUUUUUUCGCUUUUACACCCUAUGAAGAAUUUCGAGGUGAAUUUGUUGUAAUGUAUCCCUUAAAUAUUCAGAUUUUUUGACACGAUGGGAGUAAGUUGUGGUCCUGUAAUUUGCUUGUACUUCUCCCGACAAUCUGGUAAUUAUAUAACCAUGCUCACUCGCCCUAAAUAAGCUGUAGCUUUGAGUGGCAUCCCAGUCUCUUAAAAAAGUUAGGCGAUUUUCAUUUUCCUCCAAUAAUUGAAUAAGGAUAUAUAACUUUACUUAAAUAUACAGGUAACUUAGUUGAUAUGUCCUUCGAAUAUUAAUAAGAUAAAUACAGAUUAUAAUAUAAAAAUAAAAAUUUAGAUAGUAUCACAAUAUAAUUUAGGUUAGAAUAGAUUCCGAUUGUAUCUCUGAGUUGGUGUUAAAAAAACAAAAGAAAUAUAUAGUAAAUCGACUCAGCCAGCAAGUAUCCUGGGAGUAAAGGCAUUGGAGAAUUUGUUUUACCAUCUUUCUCGUGAGGAAAAUUCUUCAAAUCAAUAACAAUUUCUCGUGAUCACCUUUAUCAUUAAUUUACCACGUAGCUGUCUCAUUUCAAAUUAGUGCUGAUGAAAAUAUUCCACAUGAAUGAGAGACCAAAUUAAUUAAACAAAACUCUCUUCAAAUAUGACUUUUAGCACCUAUAUAUUUCACCGUUAUUUACUGUCAAAUCGUCCCAAUACAUGCAUAACCUUAAAUAUUUAAAUUGAAAUUUUAUAAUCUCAAUCUUUUAUAAAGUCUUGAAUACCCUCGAUUAAUCCUCACAUUUCUUGAACUUUUGUCACGCGUAUCUCGUAAUUAAAUAUAUAAUAACAUGUAAUAGUAAAUACACGUGAUUAAGAAUAUUCCAAACAGACAAGCGUAUAAUAAAUUCUAUCCCUGUAAUCAUAGCCACAUAUUCAAGUUGCCGUGAUGACAGAAAAUUGCUCCCAUGCUAAUAAAGGCAGUGCCCAACUUGCAUUGGCUGGGAUGGACCCAUCCAAUACAUCGCAUGAUAUUUCCUUUCUGCAUCUAUGUGUUUAUGGUUUAAGCGAUGAAUGGUCCCUAUGUGGAUUGUAACUUAUUCAAUAUCAGCUUUCAAAGAAGAGUUGAUACGUACCUUUGUUUGUUCUUUUUGCUCAAUUUUAUGGCCUUGUGUAAUUUUUGGUUCCCUAGGGGCUAUGAGACAAAUACUAUAUAUAGUUGCAAUAAUUUCAAAAUGAUUGUUUCAUUUCUGGUUAGAGUAUAAUGGUAUUUAUGAAUUGUGGUCAUGUUAUCGCAAUUAAAUUAGGAUUUGAUUUUCUUAUGAAAAGUUCCAUUCGAAAUUGUCUAUCUACGACUGCAUAUUAAUAAAAUAAUCUAUUUAAGCCAACGUAUGGUUUUAAACUUUUAAUAGAACAUAAAAUUUAUUGCCCUUCAAAUUCUUCUUAAUAGUUGUUUUAGUGUAGAAGAAUGCUUAUAUAAAGUAGCUUUAUAAAUCAGGCAAAAAGCAUGUUGAAAAGUAGCCUAACUGCAAUUUGCCAUUAUGUUGGGGUAAAAAAAAGAAUGUAAAUGAAAGGGAGAUGAAGGAGCCAACUGUAAUUUGUUAGAGAUUAACUUACUAAAGAAAAAAUUUGGGGUAUUGUGUCACAGGGGCACCAGAGCCAAGCCCUAUAAACAAUUAUAUAUAUCAUGUUUGUUUUGUUAGGUUUUUUUCUUCUUUUUGGUGCAAGAAAAAUAAGCAAUCGAAAAAAUUUGACUUUUGACUAUGGCAAUACCUAAUUAAAAAUGUGACUCAACAGUGUGAUAAAAAUGGCCUCGUGUCUAAAAAGAAUUAGCACCAUUCUACUUAUUUGAGCUUUAUUCAACAAAAGCAAUGAUAAUAGAACUAAAAAUUCCACUUAUUUGAGCUUUAUUCAACAAAGACAAUGAUAAAUAGAAUUAUAAAUGCAGGCCCUGGGGCUUUCAAUGUCUGGUUAAUUGGCUUUUUUUUUUUUAAAAAAAAAAAAAAACCUAUAUAUAGGAAACAAUGAUCAUAAAACUAUAAAAAUUUAUUUUUAUACAAAUUGAUGUGAUAUAAAUUUGUGAUUUGGGUGAAAAUAUAGAAUAAAAAAAUAAAUUAUGUGGGUUAAGAAAUAUUUAUUUCAAUCAAUUUAAUUAUACUACAUCAAUUUAUACAAAACAAAUUUAUAUAAGAAUUCGAAAUUUUAUUAUUAAUCGAUAGUGCACGGUUGUCGUAGUCAAUAUUAUUAGGUUUGUAAGUAAAAUUUAGAAGUUAUCGAAAAAAAAAAAAAAGAAUUUGUCAAAGAAGUAGGCGUUAAGAUCUUCUUUGUAAGUAAAAUUUAGAAGUUAUCGAAGUUAUCGAAAAAAAAAAAAAAGAAUUUGUCAAAGAAGUAGGCGUUAAGAUCUUCAAUCUUUGCUAGUAUUGUCAUUAUCUGAUUUCAAAAUUCUCUCCACAUUUCAUCCUCUGAAGAUACGAAACUGAUAUUAUACCUAUAUGAUAUCAAAAUUCAUCACCUUUACUCAUGCAAUUAAAAGUGAUGGGGAAUGCUUAAUUUUUUGGCUUAAAAAUGGUGACAGAAAUUAAGUUGAUAUAUCUCCACUCUUAAUUAAACCAUUGUUUUAAAUACCAUCAAUUUUCGCAAACCAAUAAAUAUUUUCAUAACAAUGAUUCAGUUUGGCCGGUUUUAAUAAGUUUUAGUAAAUUAAAACUUACAUGCUAAAAUUCUCAUUUGAUCAAUUGAUUAUAUUGAGUGGAUUAUUGAUUUCUUUCUUAAUAAAAUCAGUAGUAGAAUUAAAUCAACUUGCACUUACUAAAAGAUUUAGAUUCAGUGUGUUUUCUUGUUACAUUAAAGAUGAAUAGAUUAUCCAAUUAACGGCUCGACUUUUAAGCAAAACCACAAACGCUUGUUUGCUGUUUGAGAGCACAGAGACCACUGAUUCCUCUGCAGUUUCAUUGUAAUUGAGUGAAUUUCAUUUUUUAUUUUAUUUUAUUCUUUUGUUGUUUUGUAAAAAUUCAUUUUGUUGAAAAGCUUCACUCGCACUGACAAAUGAGUCAACAUAAUAAACAAACUUCCGCAGAAACAGACACCCAAUCCGUGAUUCUUCACUGUAAAUAUCUGUAAAUUUAUUUUAUUUCAUUUAUUUAUUCAUUUGGGAUAAUGCCCUUUUCAUUAUUUUACACGUAAACAAAUUCUUAGCUUUCACGAGAUGGUUUUAAAGAUAUAGCUUCAGUUUUUGGAUUCUUGCUUUACUUAGCUUGCUUGCUCUAUUUGCGUGGGUGUAUAUAUAUUUGAGCUUUUAGUCUUUGAGAGCUCGCAUGUGGGUUUGUAGAGAGAGUUUUGCAUUGCACUUUUCAAAGUUUCUUUUUGCUUGAAGUGUGUGUUUUUUGUUGUUAUCAAGUUCGUUGAAUUUUGAGUUUUUUGACUUCUGGUAUUGUUUAUAUUAGAAUGCUCUGGCUUUUUGUUUAAUUAAGCUGAAUUUGGUCAAGUUAAAGGAUUUUGCUUCCUGGGGUUGUGGUUAUACUGUAUGGCUUGAUUAUUUUGUGCUAAAUUUUGAGCUCAAAAGGUGUUACAAUGAGUUCUUUUGGUCUUGAAUUAUAUUCAAAUUGGUGAAUUUCAAUAAUUUGCAGCAUUUUGAUUCUGUUUUGUUGAUAAACUAUCUGUUGGUUUAGUGCGGACUUUUACGCUGUACCUUGGUUUACUAAAAGUUAGAGAUUUUGAAUCUGAGUUUCUUGGUAAAAAUGAAGAAUUUUGUGUUUAAAGUGUUGGUUUUGUUUCUCUCUUGUUGGGUGGCUUUGUGUAAGGAGUGUACAAACUCAUUUCCUCAGCUAGCAUCGCAUACAUUUAGAUACGAACUCUUAUCAUCCAAAAAUGAAACGUGGAAAAAAGAGGUGUAUUCUCAUUACCAUUUGACACCAACUGAUGAUUCAGCUUGGUCUAAUUUGCUACCAAGAAAGAUGUUGAGUGAGACAGACGAAUUUAGUUGGACAAUGAUUUAUAGGAAAAUGAAAAAUCCAGAUGGGUUUAAAUUGGCCGGAGAUUUUCUUAAGGAGGUUUCAUUGCAUGAUGUUAAGUUGGACCCAAGUUCAUUGCAUUGGCGGGCACAACAAACAAAUUUGGAGUAUCUAUUGAUGUUGGAUGUGGAUAGUUUGGUUUGGAGCUUUCAAAAAACAGCUGGUUCGCCUACAGCAGGGAAAGCCUAUGAAGGGUGGGAGGAUCCAACAUGUGAGCUUCGGGGUCAUUUUGUAGGUAAUUCCAGUUCGUAAUUCUAUAUCUUUGUGUUUGAGUUUAAAUUGCAGUUUUCCCUUACUGUCUAUGCAAACUGAUUGUGGCUUUAACAAAUUUAAUGAUGUUUCUGCAAAAUGAUUAACUAAAUUCACUUUUAAGAAUUUACGUGAAUGGAAUGAAAGAGAGUUAUAGAAGGUAUCAUGAAUCAACUUUACACUAUUCAUACUACUCUUUUUUACAUUUAGUGUUACUGUUAAUGGUUGAAUAUUCUAAUUAGUUCUUUCUGAUUCUAGAUUCUUUUUCCCCUCUUUUACAUGUCUAAGCUUGGGAAAGCACUUUCUCCUCUUUGAGAUGUCAAUGGGAAAAAGGAUGAAGAAAGAACCAUCUUUCUAAUGUGUAUUGAGCUUCUUCAGCAAUAUAAUGCUCUGAUUGUUAUUUGACCAGUUUUAGGUUGAUUUUGAAUUUUAUAUCUUAUCUUCUUCAUAUAAAAUACCAUGCAAGAAUGGUCAGUUAAAUCUUUCUAACCACUGGAGUUAUGCUGUGGGUUUUGUGUGGAUUAGGAUUCUUAAAGAUUUACAUCUUGGAUCCUGGAAAUGAAAUAUGCAGAAUUACUUUGUAAUUUAGCCACUAAAUUAUAUGGACAACUUUAAUUUCAACAUUUCUCAGCUUUCACAAUGUUUUGAUGCUUGACACUGCAGCAAGUUAAUUGGGCUAUUCAAAUUUCAGUUGAUAUAAUUUCAAUGACUAACUUGCUUUUUGGCUUCUUAAAGGGCAUUACUUGAGUGCAUCAGCACACAUGUGGGCUAGUACUCACAAUGUUACUCUCAAAGAGAAAAUGACUGCUGUGGUGUCUGCUUUGUCUGAGUGCCAGAAUAAAAUGGGAUCAGGAUAUCUUUCUGCUUUUCCAUCAGAGCAAUUUGACCGCUUUGAAGCUUUAAAACCUGUCUGGGCUCCAUACUACACUAUUCACAAGGUAAGUUUUAUCUUGUUUGUUUUGCAAGAUACAAUUUAUAUAUUUAGUCCUUGUAAAGUUAUAUAAUUUGCUAGAGACAAAUCUACUUUGACAGAUCUUGGCGGGUCUAUUGGAUCAAUAUACAUUUGCUGAUAAUACUCAAGCUUUGAAGAUGACAAAAUGGAUGGUUGAGUACUUUUACAAUCGCGUUCAGAAUGUUAUAACAAAAUAUAGUGUGGAAAGACACUGGAAUUCGCUUAAUGAAGAAACUGGUGGAAUGAAUGAUGUGCUUUACAGGUUAUAUACCAUCACGGUAUGUAUCCCAUUACCUGCAAUGCCCCUAUCACCUCAUUUGACUCCACACUUUAUAUUAAAAAUGAAUGAAAUUAUGUUGUGGACUUGGUCAAUAUAUAUCAGCAGAAAUAGCUCAUUUACAACCAAUUAAGCAUGUGAUUCUGAAAAUAUUAUUUUACUGCAGAUAUUCUGUAUUUUUCUUUCUAAAACUUUUUAUGUUACUGUGUUCAGCAAGAUCCAAAGCAUUUAUUGUUGGCUCACCUUUUUGACAAGCCCUGCUUUUUGGGAUUGCUUGCAGUGCAGGUAACUAUAAUUGCUUUGCUGUUCAUAAGAGGUUUUAAUAUGCUAAUAAUCUCGAAAAUAGACAAAAAUUAUAGUUUGACAGCAUGGAGUUACAUGACAUGGGAACUAAUUCUUUAUGUUAAUUGAUUAUUUGCUGAUUCUUUUGUCAACUUUGACCGUAGGCACUCUAACUGAUGUAGUUGCCCUGGAGAAAUUUUGGUUUGGAAUGAAGAUUAGUUUCAUAAAUGUGCAGAACUCAAAAUAUGUGUGUGUGUGUGUGACUGAGAACUUAACUUUGGUAUCUUAGGUAUACAUGAGUAGAAUUGAGUUUCUGGUUCCAUAUAGGAGUCUAAACGGUGGUAAUCAUGUGAAAAUCUGAAGAAAAUGAAAAAUUAGAAGGUUGAUUUGCUCUUUAUUCUUGAUGAUGGUUUAUUUCUUUUGCUUGUAGGCUGAUGACAUUUCUGGUUUUCACGCUAAUACUCAUAUCCCUGUUGUUAUUGGAUCUCAAAUGCGCUAUGAGGUCACUGGUGAUCCACUCUACAAGGUAAAUUGCUUACUGGCAUUGGUUCAAGUUCAAUUGCUUAGUUUCCUCCUAUAUGAUCAUACUCUUACUUCCACCUGCCGGGCUUGCAUUUUCCAAAUUAUCAUCACUGUGGACUGCUUACUCUUUGUUUUGAGAGAUCUCAUUUAUUUAUUCUUCAGAGGCUUCAAUGUUGAGCUUCCGUCUUAAGUCUUUAGAAAUGAUGGUGACUACAUAGGUUCUACCUUUUGGUUUUCUGAUGUUUUAGAAUUUAAAUAAAAAUGCUUGCAAAAGUUAUUUUUGAAAGACCUUAAUUUUCAUUAUCUAAUUUUGGUGCAGGUCACAGGAACAUUCUUUAUGGACAUUGUUAAUGCUUCUCAUGGUUAUGCAACAGGAGGAACAUCAGCUGGAGAGUUUUGGUAUUAAUAUCUGGCAUUUUGAAUUUGAUUUACCUCUCAUUCCUUAAUUAGCUCAAGCUCCUGCCUGAAUUUCCGCAAGCUAGCCUGAAUUUCCUUACUAACAAUUACUUCAUAGCUUUAUGCACAUUAUUUAUCUGAGUCUUGGUGAUCUGCUGCAUUUUUAUUGAUUCCCUUUUCUCUACCAUGAGUAGGUCAGAUCCAAAGCGAUUGGCAAGCACUCUGGGGACGGAGAAUGAAGAAUCGUGCACGACUUAUAAUAUGCUGAAGGUAUGCUCAUUAGCUGGAACUCUUGAGGCUAAGGAUUUUCUACUAUAUAUUUUGUUUAAACUCCAUGUGGGGAAUGUUUUCACAUCUGUUUUUGCAUUUUGUUUUUAAAUUAUCACAAUAAUUCAUAACUCUCUGCUGUUAUGGGUCUAGCAUUUGGAAUCAUCUUUUUCAGUGAUCAUACCUUCUGUUUUUCAUUACUGCAUAAGCAUGAAUGCUACUGCUCUUUGCAAUUACAUAGCAAACUUAAUUGAUUUUGUAGGUCUCGCGGCACCUGUUUAGAUGGACAAAAGAAAUGGUAUAUGCAGAUUAUUAUGAACGUGCCUUGACAAAUGGUGUACUUAGUAUCCAACGAGGAACAGAGCCUGGAGUGAUGAUUUACAUGCUUCCACUGGGUCGUGGAGAUUCCAAGGCCAAAAGCUACCAUGGAUGGGGAACAAGGUUCUCCUCCUUCUGGUGCUGCUAUGGCACAGGUUUGGGAUUCAUUCGCUGGAUUCAACUUUCCCUUUCAUGAUAACUUGAACUGCAUUAGAUUGUUUUUCCCCUUCGGCCUUGACUCACAUCUUAUGAUUUGUUUCUCAUUUUUAUGUGGUUAUGACUCCAAAUUGCUUUGCCACUAGGCAUUUCGUGUCUACUUUUUGCUGGUAUCAUUGAUGUUAUAUAAAUCUCUUCCAUUGCUCCGGUCAUGUGAUAGCUCUUUUUUCAUGAUUUUGUAGGAAUUGAAUCAUUCUCGAAGUUAGGAGAUUCCAUAUACUUUGAAGAGGAAGGAAAUGUUCCUGGUCUUUAUAUCAUCCAGUAUAUAUCAAGCUCACUUGACUGGAAAUCUGGAAAUAUUGUGCUGAAUCAGAAAGUUGAUCCUGUUGUCUCUUGGGAUCCUUACCUUCGAAUGACACACACAUUUUCUUCAAAGCAGGUACUAUCAGCAUUUACUCCUGAAUCUAUUCUCCAGUAUCUUGUAUUAGACAAGUACUAUCUGAUUGUGUCUGAUGGCUUAGGGUAUGACUUCGGACACUUAAGAGAUACCAAACAAAUUUGAAAAGAUUAACAAGAUAGGAAAUUGAUAAUAAUGGAGUACAAAUUGCCUUGUGGGGUCCUAGGGAUGCGUAUCUUGUUUAAUGCUUUGUGGUUUUGCUUGAUUGAAGUAAAGAAUUGGGACUAUUAUCUCUUGUUGAGAGUAACUUAACCACAUAUGUGAGAUAGUUACAAGUUAUAGAUGAUAAUAAAGCUGUAGAUUAUGUUUUUUAUUACUAGUCGAUUCAACAGGUAAGAUAUUGAUGGUUGCAGUUCUAAUACCCACUUGCGUAAGGUUUCCGGUAGCACCAUUGUAAUGGUUUAAAAGAAUUUUUAUGCAUGUUUUUAAUUAUUAACAAACUAUUGUCCUCUUUGUAGGGUUUACGAAAAGAAAAGAAAUGUUUAUGUAUAUUGUAUAUGUGAGUUUCAGUAUUUUGUUUCAUUUCCUCUAUUUUAGAAGCACUCAAAAUGAACAAUGAGACAGUAACUUUGGAUGACAGUGAGGGUCUAACCAUUAUUCAUACUGAACUAUUCGAUUGAUUAAAAAAAUCCAACUGGAAGUAGAGCUCAUACUUGAAUCUGAUUUAUGCAGGAGGCAAGCCAAUCAUCUUCCUUGAAUUUGCGGAUACCGCUCUGGACAAAUUCAAAUGGUGCCAAGGCAACAUUAAAUGGCCAGAGUUUGUCUCUCCCAGCUCCAGGUGUUAACACAAUACUAGUUUGUUUAAUUCUUUUUAAUGUCUUACUUCAGAGAAAUGAAGAAAAAGUGUCUCACCUUUUCACUGAUAUUUUCAUAUUAUAUUAUUACUUGUAUCCUUUUCCUUUUUGAUGACAAUGUUCUUUGAAUCUUUUCACUUUUUUCGCAUACAGACAUUUGACCUAUGGACAUAUUCCUAGUGCAGGUAACUUUAUAUCUGUCACUCAAAGAUGGAGCUCUACUGACAAAUUAACCAUUCAGCUGCCCAUCAAUCUAAGGACAGAGGCUAUUAAAGGUAUCUUCAUGGAGCAAUAGUUUUUAAAGCUCUGCGUCUAGUGACCCCUCUUGUAGCUUUUUCAUUGCAAAUAUAUGCUUGGCCGCAAUCAAAUAUUUUUGUUCUCUAGAAUGUGAUCUUUGAUUGACAAAGUUUUCUUGUCCAGAUGACCGGCCUGCGUAUGCAUCUAUUCAGGCGAUUCUUUAUGGUCCCUAUCUACUAGCUGGUCACACCAGUGGGGACUGGGACAUUAAGACUGGGUCAGCAAAAUCUCUUUCAGACUGGAUAACUCCAAUCCCUGCCUCAUACAAUGGUCAGCUCGUUACUUUUGCCCAAGAGUCUGGAGACUCUGCUUUUGUACUAUCAAACUCAAACCAAUCCAUUACAAUGGAAAAGUUCCCUGAAUCUGGCACUGAUGCUGCUCUUCAUGCCACUUUCCGACUCAUCAUGAAGGAAGAAUCUUCAUCCGAAGUUUCAUCACUCAAAGAUGUUAUCGGCAAAUCAGUUAUGCUAGAACCAUUUGAUUUUCCAGGAAUGCUUGUAGUGCAGCAAGGAACAGAUGGUGAACUUGUUGUCUCAGAUUCUCCAAAGGAAGGGGAUUCUUCUGUAUUCCGUUUGGUUGCUGGGUUAGAUGGAAAGGAUGAAACAAUAUCCUUGGAGGCGGUAAAUCAAAAUGGUUGCUUUGUGUAUAGUGGCGUGAACUUCAAUUCAGGUGCAAGCUUGAAGCUCAGCUGCAGCACAGAGUCAUCGGAGGAUGGAUUUAACGAGGCAGUUAGUUUUGUAAUGGAAAAAGGAAUAAGUGAGUAUCAUCCAAUCAGCUUUGUGGCAAAAGGAGCAAGGAGGAAUUUUCUUCUGGCACCAUUGCUAAGCUUUAGAGAUGAAACUUAUACAGUUUAUUUCAACAUUCAAGAUUAAAAGUUGGCUAGCAGAAUGGAAAGGCCAAUAAUGCACCGGUAUGACAAUGAAUCAUCCUUACUUUUCUAAUCUCGAUGGCAGCAGCCGGCUGGCGUUCUGAAUAACUUUUUAAUAUGCAGAUGGGUAUUCUUAGAUUCAGGUUACAUCGUAAAGCUAGACCAAAUAAUGUAGGAAUCAAUCAAAAUGCUACCAAGAAGAAAUAGGGUAACAGAAUCCUAGGGCUAAUCAUUACGUUUGCUGUAAUUUUUACUUUAUUCUUGUUCUAUAGUUUAUAUUCCCGACGCUAUUUCAAUUCUGUUCAGUUUUAUAUACGUCAUUGGAAAUAUUUGCUGCAAGUAAAGGCAAUUUAGCUGCUGUUUCUUUUAUUUCAGUUGGAUUGCUGAUGUUUAACAUUUGAAUCUGUUAUUAUUAUUAUUAUUAUUAUUGUAAAUUUACAUGGUAAAUGCAGAUUUAUUUUAGGAUUAUCAAGUAAUAAAUAUGGGUCAAAGCGUUAUUUUAUUUUAUUUUUUUAAUAUCCCAUUGUUGGCCCAAAAGUUUUUUGGAAGCAUAUUGAGCACUAAUCCCUUAAAAAUAAGAGAGACAAGCUGUAAAGAAUUAGGUUUAUAUUUUAAUUUUUAAUUUUUUUCCUAAAAAGACAGAAAGGGUUCCUUAACGAUUUUAAGCUAAUUACCUGAUGUUGACUUUUAAGUCAAACCAGCUUGACUUUUAAGUCAAACCAAAACUAACUUCAUAUCCAUGAUUCUCUGGAGCUUCUUUGCAUUUUAUCUGUUAAAAAUUCUCUACAUAUUUCAAAGAUUUUCAUAUCUGUAAUCAAUAAAAAAGAAAAAAAAUUAAAAAAAAAAAGAGAGAAAAAGAAAUGAGUGGUUUUGUGUUAUUCAAAUUCUUGCUUAUGUUUCUCUUCAGCGUUUUAGCUUUAGCUAAAAAAUGUAAAAAGGUUUUUCUAAGGUUAGCUUCACAUAAGUUCAGAUACAACGUUUUGUCAUCCAGAAAUGAACCUUAUAAAAAAUAGAGAUGCUCUCUCAUAAUCAUCUGACGCCAUCUGAUGACAUGGCAUGGUUGAGUCUGAUGCCGAGGAAGAUCCUGAGGGAGGAAUAGGAUGAGUUUAGUUGGCAAUGUCCUACAGGAAAAUUAAAAACCCAGGUGAGGUUAGAAUGCCUGGACCUGGAGAGUUUUUGAAGGAGGUGUCAUUGCAUGAUGUUCUGUUGGGUUUGGAUUCAAUGCAUUGGCGUGCACAGCAAAUGAAUAUGGAAGUAUCUGUUGAAGCUGGAUGUUGAUAGUUUGGUUUGGAGUUUCCAGAAAACAGCCAGUUUGCCAAUGCCGGGAAACCAUAUGGGGGCUGGGAGGAUCCAAUUUGUGAGUUCCGGGGUCAUUUUGUAGGUAUAUAUGUAUAAGUUUAGUGUGUAAAUUAUGAUUGUGGCAUGCAUGUCCAUCCAACUUCACUAUCAAAUUUUGGAAGAGAUGGGCAUAUGACGUCAUUUGUGGCAUAUCAUCUUAUUGGGCAGUCCCAUUAGGGAGGUCCUAUGAAAAUCUUUAUCUCAGUUUAUAAGAUGGGAUCUUUGAUCGCCUGGGCUAGGAAAAUUGCUUGCUAAUUGGAUUACUUGUUAUAAGUAAUAUUGAAGAAUGCAACAUUACAAAGUUACUGCUUUUGAAUUCGUCUAGGGCAUUACUUGGGUACAAUGGCAUUGAAGUGGGCGACCACUCACAAUGACAGUCUUAAGGGAAAAUGCCGGCUCUGGUGUCCGCUCUGUCCGAAUGCCAGAAUCAAAUGGGAAGUGGGUAUCUUUCUGCAUUUCCAACGGAGCUAUAUGAAUGUGUUGAAGUUAAAGGCUGUUUAGGCUCCGUAUUACACUAUUCACAAGGUAAAGUCUACUCUAUUUGUUUCGCAAGCUAUUAAAACCCUUAAUUCAUUAGGUCUUUUAUAGGUUUGAUAACUGGCUUUAACUAAUCUUGUGCUCUUUGAGUUGCAGAUCCUGGCAGGCUUAUUGGAUGAAUAUGCAUAUGCUGAUAAAGCUGAAGCUUUGAAGAUAACAACAUGGAUGGUCGAGUAAUUUAAAUGUCAAGUUCAGAAUGUAAUAACGAAGUACAUUGUGACACGGCACUGGGAUUCACUUAAUGAAGAAACUGGGGGCAUGAAUGAUAUCCUGUACAUGUUAUUCACCAUAACGGUAGGUAAUUUUAAUUUUCUUAGUUGUUACAUAUAUACUUGAGAAGCUCUGAAACUUUGCAAUCUGAAACAUAUUUUUACUGUUAUCAUUCCCAGCAAGAUCCAAAGCAUCUGGUGUUGGUUCACCUCUUUGACAAACCAUGCUCACUGGGAUUGCUUGCAGUACAGGUAACAUCAUUUUGCUAUUUUUUGGAGCUUAGAUAUUACUUCCGCAUUGAAAAUUUGACAUAAAAAUCUGUCUUUUCUGCUUGUAGGCUGAUGACAUAUCCGGUUUCUGUGCCAAAACAAAAAUCCCUAUUGUUAUUGGAUCUCAAAUGAGGUAUGAAGUCACUGGCGAUCAACUUCAGACGGUAAACUACUUAACCUCAAUAUUACUUUACUGUCAAAUUAAUUAAAUGCUUAAUAGAAGUAUAGAACCUACAAAUAUGCUUUAAAAAAAUUCCAUUGGGAAAAUUCUGAAUAUUAUUUGAUCAUCUAAUUUUUAUAUGCAUUGCCAGGAAAUAUUGAAAUUCUUUAUGGAUAUUGUUAAUGCUUCUCAUACUCAUGCAAGUGGAGGAACAUCAGUUGGAUAGUUCUGGUACUAAUGUUAGGCAUCAUUCCAAUUUCAAGUUCUUGUCUUUCAUCGAUAAGCUCUUGCUUUGGCUUGAAUUACAUAGGCUGUCUUGAGUUAUUAUCAUAAAGUUGCAAUUACUUCAUAGCUUUAUGCAAGUCCUUUACUUAUUCACUUCAUUAACUGAUGAGUAGGAGUGAUCAAAAGUGACUAGCAACCACUCUAGGGACGGAGAAUGAAGAAUCACACGGAGUUAUAACAUGCUCAAAGUAAUAUGAAAAUAUUUAAGAACUUUUAAUCAACUGGAUCUUUACUGAUAUCAAUGGCUAAAAAUUUUCAAUAUUUGAUUCCCCUGUUUCAUUAAACAACUAGCUAUCUGUUAUAACUUUAUAGCAUAAUCUUUUAAUUUUGUAGGUCUCCCGCAACCUGUUUCGAUGGACAAAAGAAAUGGCCUAUGCAGAUUAUUAUGAGCGUGCCUUAACAAAUGGUGUGCUUGGAAUCCAAUGAGGCACCGAUCCUGGUGUAAUGAUUUACAUGCUUCCUCUAGCUUCUGGAAGUACCAAGGACUGGGGAACACCAUUCGACUCACUCUGGGGCUGUUAUGGCACAGGUCUGGUAUCCAUUGCCCACUUUUUCUCUGUACUCUCUAUUUUCUUGAAUCACAUAAGUUGCUUUCUAAAUUUUGUGUAGUUUUCGCCAAGUGGUUUACAAGAUUUUAUUCUUGUUUCCCAUGUAGGAAUUCAGUCAUUCGCAAAGUUAGGAGAUUCUAUUUACUUUGAAGAGGAAGGAUUAUAUCCCGGUCUUUACAUCAUUCAGUACAUAUCAAGCUCACUUGAUUGGAAAUCUGGACAUAUUGUGCUGAACCAGAAAGUUGAUCCUGUCGUUUCUUCGGAUCCUUAUCUUCAUAUCACAUUCACAUUUCUUCCUAAGGUACUGGCUAUCAAACUUGGUGUUUGUUUUUUAUUUUUUAUUUUUUAACAUUGUAAUGAGAAGUUCAUCCAUCAUACAUUCUGGAUUUGAUACAUAUCCAGGGAGCAGCUCGACCAUUAUCCUUCGGUUUCAGAAUAUCGAGCUGGACAAAUACUAAUGGAGCAAAGGCAACAUUAAAUGGCCAGGAUUUGCCUCUACCAUCGACAGGUGAUGAAUUAUAAUAUCUUUGAUUGUUUUUCACAUUUUUAUUUCAGAUAGAAAAAUUAAAAGUGGGUUUCAUCUUUUAUAAAGACAUGUAACAAACAGUUGCAUUCCUGAUGCACGAAAUUUCCUAUGUAUCACCACAGCACGGACAUCUGAUGACAAAUUAACCAUUCAGCUGCCCCUUAUUCUAAGGAUAGAGCCUAUCGAUGGUAUCUUCAUGAAUUGUUCUGUUUAGAAUUUCUGUUAUCAAUGAAAAAUCUUUGAUUGAAAAUCUUUUUUCUUCUUCAGCUGAUCGGCCAUUCACCACGGUCUUAUCUGCCUACGAGUUACAGCAAUGGGGACUCCGAUAUCAAGACUGAAUCAGCUACAUCUCUUUCAGAAAUUGUUGCUCCAAUUCCUGCAUCAUAGAAUUUCAGCUGGUCACAUUUUCCAAAGUUUCCAGAAACUCAACUUUUGUCUUGACAAUCUACCCCAAUGGCAAAUCCUCUAAAUCUGGCACUGAUAUUGCCCUUCAAGCCACUUUCAGAUUCAUCUUAAACGAUAAACCUUCCUCUGAAUUUUCAUCCCUCAGCGAUGUAAUUGGCAGAUCAGUCAUGCUAGAACUAUUUGCUUCUCCAGGAAUGCUUGUAGUGCGAGGAACAGAUGAUGAACUUGUUGUCACAGACUCCUCUAGUGUUCAUGGCUCCUCCAUUUUUCGCCUUGUUACCAGAUGGGAUGGAAAGGCUGAAACUGUAUCCUUGGAGUCAGUAACCCAAAAGGGUUGCUUCGUUUCUACUAGUGUUAACUUGAAAUCGGGUGCAAGCAUGAAGCUCAGUUGCAACACAGAGUCAACAGAGGUUGGAUUUAACAAUGCAGCUAGCUUCGCAAUGGAAAAAGAAUUGAGUAUCAUCCUCUCAACUUUGUUGCAAAGGGAGCAAAGAGGAAUUUUCUUUUGGUGCCAUUACUAAGCAUAAGAGAUGGAUCUUACACUGUUUAUUUCAACAUUCAAUCAUAAAAGGAACGAACAUGCUUGUUGACAAAUUAGAUGUUUAUUGAAAUUUAGAAUCUUGAAUGGAAAAUUGUCAAUACAUUCAUUAUUAUUAUUUUUUUUGGGCCUCUAUACAACUUAUACUUUCCCUGUUUUAUAUAGCAUGAAGCUUAAUUAAAUUCUUGUUAGAUUGAUCAAUUUAAAUUUAAAAGAAGCUCUUGUAAUUUUAUAUGCAAUAUUGUAUAAUUUCUAAUCAGUUAUAAAUAAAUAUUCCACAAUAUCUUUCAACAUAUUCUUCAAUAAUAAUGCUUGUACAUUAAUUUAUUUAGAACUUUGUAAAAAAUUAUUAAUCACAUGAGAAAUUUUAGAAAAAAACAGAGGUAUCACAUCAAUCAUAUAAUAAAAAAAUCAUAUUAUAAUAUAAGUAUAUUUAUUUUAAAAAAUCAUCAUGCAAGUGAGAGUUAUAUCAAAUCUAAUAUACAUGUCAUACAUGUAUUAGUUGGUUGUAAAAUUUCUAAUGUAUAGUAAAAUUUCUCUUAUAAAUGACACAUCAUAUGUCACACUAUUUAUCAUAAAAUUUAAAUAUUAAAAAAGUCCAUCACAUCAUACCUCCCGAUAAUACAUGAAAGUAUUAUUUUGCCAAAUGAAGAAAAUGAGGGAGGUAGCUCUGAAACUUUAAUUUAUCUUGACAUUUUACCAAAAUAAUUUACUCUUUUUAGACUUUGACCCCUAAACGUUUACCUCUAUGAUUUUGGCCCCCUUUAAAUUCUUCUACCCAUAGGGACAAAAAUCACACGAAAAUUUAUGGUAGAAAAAUUGAUUACAAGUGAAAAAUUAUGAUUAAAAUUUGAGUGAGCUUUUUGAAUGCGAUAAAAAUACUACUUAUAUUCAUCCCUUCUAAUAAAUUUAUAUAAUACCAAGACAUCUACACAGUACUUUACCAUUGAGUAAAUUCUUUUUUAUAAUGAAAAUAAUUUAUUUAUUAGAUAAAUCAAACUUAACUUCAUCUUCCUACCCUUUACCAUAGACGAUCCACAAUAAUCCCCAACUCUUCUCAAAACCACUCUCAUCUCUUCUGUAAUUUUUUUUUUCCAUUUACACUAUUUUGUUUCAUUUUCAUCGUUAAAUAUAACAAUCCUUACUCAUUAAAAUCUUUCAUCCUUGAGUUUUUAUUUAUAAAAUAAAAAAUUGAAAUAAAUAGAAUUACAUUAAAAAAAAUACAUUUUAAAUGCUCUUUCUUAUUUUGUCUUUAUUAAUUAUUUCCUUAUUUUAUGUUUUUAAUUAUUUCUUUCAGACUCUGCAAGAUACAUUUUCUUUUAAAGACAAGGGAAUGGUUUAAGUCCAAAUUAAUUUUUUAACUCAAUAAAUCCUCAAGAUUCAAACUCAAUUGAACAGUCAAAUAUGGCUUCUUAAAAACAAUUUAUAACUGCUAAAAACCAGGCAAUUAGACCUUGGAGAGAUUCUAAAAGAUUUUAACUGGACAUAAUUUUUGGUACUUACUUUUUGGGAAAAUGAUGCUUCAAAAGCAAAAUUCUUUUUGGGGCAUAAUAACUGUCUUGCAGAGCUCUAUCUCCCGAGUCUGGGCCAUUAUCUUCACUGUUCCUGAUAUUUAAUAAUAAUAAUAUUGCUUUAAGAUUCAAAUUUGAUCUUAUUUAGCAUUGCAUAAAUUAAGUACAAAACUGCUACAUAAAAACACUUGAGAAAAAUGGUUAUUUUUACCAUAAAUGAAGAAGGGGAAUAGAAGAAUUGAUCCAAGAGAUGAAUUGGCCAUCUGUUUUUACUUUAAUUUCUUUUGGAACAACAAUAUGGGUGAGAUGCUGUUUCAAAAAAUAAUCUUAAAUAACAAUGGUGAGAUAGUGUUGAACGACAUAAACCACGAAGCUAAAAAUGAAAUAAUCUCUGAACAAGGCCAGUCCUGCCUCAAUUGCAAAUUUGCAACCAAUAACCCAUCGACGGCCCCCACACCACCAACCCCCAUGACUGCGUCAACAUUUAAUUUAAAAUGGUCAAGCUGAGGUGGCUGCCACGGCGUCACAACUGCUUCUUGGUAAAUUAAUAAUAUUAUUUUUUUUAAAAUUAAUGCUAAGUUACGUGUGUGCAACAUAUAAUUUUCUCAUAUAAAUAGUGAGUGAACCCACAUCAUUCGCUAUUUAUAUAAAAAAAUUAUAAUUCACUAUUUAUAUAAGAGAAUUAUAAAUUACGAUACAUGUAACACAAAAAAUCCCUUUUUUUAAAUACUUUUGUGUUCGGCCAAUCUAAACUUAAAUCAUUGAUGUAACUUUAAAUCAGUGAGGUAUCACCCAACUCAGGCAUUUAGUAUGUGGGUCCCACGUGCCCAUAAUAGCUAGCUUAGCGCUGGAGCUAUCUUUACGGGGAUUGCUUGAACUUUCAAAAGCUCACAUUAAUUGAUCAUUGGGCUAUGAUUACUUAAGGACUAUGAUUACUUUAGUUGAUGGAAAUUGCUUAAACUUCCAAUAGCUCGAUUAAAUCAUUGCAUCAGUAGAAUGAAUACUCGAUCUAUGGCACAAGGUUUUGGGUUCAAAAAAUGCAUCAAAUUUGACGGUUAGGAGAGUUGGUGAAUGUAAAUUUCUAUACCUAGAUCUCACAUUAGUGGUUCAAUUAAAGUUCAUUUUCCCUUAUUUUUUAUUUUUAUUUUUCAAUUAGGUUGAGAAAUAUGACUAUUGCUCAAAUGAAAAAGACAAAAAAAUUUCCUUUAGAAAAAGGAAGAUAAAGAAAAGCGAAAAAAAUGAGAAAAGGGCAAUCAAUCAAAAGGCAGCACAUGCAGAUGCAAUGUAUGAUGGGAGAGUCAGCAAUCAGACAUAAAUGAGAAGGAACACUUACUAUGUACGGAGAUAACGACAAUUUUGAGGAUAUCAUGAAAGCUCUGGCUUAUGCCAGAUACAGCAACAGUGUUAGUGAUGGGACUUAUCACUAUUGUUGUGCCUGACGUAAGUUAUGUUUAACGUAACUUAGCCGGCUCCUAUCAUAAAAUUCGACGACAUCCAAUAAGACGUUUCGGCAGAUAAUUAGUUGUAUUUAAUGUACGGAACUCAAGCUCUUACUUUCCUCCCCCUCUUAAUCAAGCUUCAAAUUGGCGCACUUAUUUAUAAGACCCUUUUCCAUACAUGCUUUGUGCUUUCACACAACACUUCAGAUAAUCAGUGUCUCGUUUUCUGACGUUCAGAUCCGAGCAGCUAUGACAGAGAAGGUUUGUAAUUCCCCUUUUGGUUAAGUUUGCGCUAUACAUCGAUCGAUCUUUCGUGAUGAUAGCUUAUAGUGUAUAUACAUACGCACAGAAAUUAAUUAAUUUUUGAACAUUGUAAUGAGAAGUUCCUCCAUCAUACAUUCUGGAUUUGAUGUAUAUCCAGGGAGCAGCUCGACCAUUAUCCUUUGGUUUCAGAAUAUCGAGCUGGACAAAUACUAAUGGAGCAAAGGCAACAUUAAAUGGCCAGGAUUUGCCUCUACCAUCGGCAGGUGCUGAAUUAUAAUAUCUUUGAUUGUUUUUCACUUUUUUAUUUCAGAUAGAAAAAUUAAAAGUGGGGUUUCAUCUUUUAUAAAGACAUGUAACAAACAGUUACAUUCCUGAUGCGCGAAAUUUCCAAGUAUCACCACAGCAUGGACAUAUGAUGACAAAUUAACCAUUCAGCUUGCCCCUUAUUCUAAGGACAGAGCCUAUCGAUGGAAUCUUCAUGAACUGUUUUUUUUUAGAAUUUCUGUUAUCAAUGAAAAAUCUUUGACUGAAAAUCUUUUUUCUUCUUCAGCUGAUCGGCCAUUCACCCCGGUCUUAUCUGCCUACGAGCUACAGCAGUGGGGACUCCGAUAUCAGGACGGAAUCAGCAACGUCUCUUUCAGAAGUUGUUGCUCCAAUUCCUGCAUCAUAUAAUUUCAGCUGGUCACAUUUUCCAAAGUUUCCAGAAACUCGACUUUUGUCUUGACAAUCUAUUCCAAUGGCAAAAUCCCCUAAAUCUGGCACUGACAUUGCCCUUCAAGCCACUUUAAGAUUCAUCUUAAACGAUAAACCUUCCUCCGAAUAUUCAUCCCUCAGCGAUGCAAUUGGCAGAUCAGUCAUGCUAGAACUAUUUGCUUCUCCAGGAAUGCUUGUAGUGCAAGGAACAGAUGAUGAACUUGUUGUCACAGACUCUUCUAGUGUUCGUGGCUCCAUUUUUCGCCUUGUUACCGGAUGGGAUGGAAAGGCUGAAACAGUAUCCUUGGAGUCAUUAAUCGGGCGAAAGCAUCAAUCUCAGUUGCAAUACAGAGUCAACAGAGUUUGGAUAUAACAGUGUAGUUUUGCUUCGCAAUGGAAAAAGAAUUAUCAUCCUAUCAGCUUUGUUGCAAAGGGAGCAAAGAGGAGUUUUCUUUUGGUGCCAUUACCAAGCAUAAGAGAUGGAUCUUACACUGUUUAUUUCAACAUUCAAUCAUAAAUUAGAUGUUUAUUGAAUUUAGAAUCUAGAAUGGAAAAUUGUCAAUACAUUUAUUUUAUUUUUUAUUUUUUGGCCUUUUUACAACUUACACUUCGCCUUUGUUAUAUGCAUGAAGCCUUAAUUAAAUUCUUGUUAGAUUGAUUAAUUUAAAGUGAACAGAAGCUCUCGUAAUUUUAUAUGCAAUUUUUGUAUAAAUUCUAAUCAGUUACAUACAAAUAUUCCACAAUAUCUGUCAAUAUAUUCUUCAAUAGUAAUGUCAGGUAUACAAUAAUUUAUUUAGAACUUUAUAAAAAAUUUUAAUCACAUGAAAAAUUCUAGAAUAAAUCAAAUGUAUCAUAUCAGGUAUACAAUAAACAAGUUAUAUUAUAAUAUAUGUACAUUUAUUUUAAAAAUCAUUAUGCAAAUAGAGAUUAUAACAAGUCUAUAUAUACAUGUCAUACAUGUAUUAGUUGAUGUACUACCUCUAAUAUAUUAUAAAAUUUCUCUUAUAAAUGACACAUCAUUAUUUAUCAUAAAAUUUAAAUAUUAAAAAGGUCCAUCACAUCUGCCUCCGCAUAAUACAUGAAAGUAUUAUUUUGCUAAAUGAAAAAAAGGCGGGAGGUGGCUCUGAAACUUUAAUUUAUCUUGACAUUUUACCAAAAUAAUUUACUCUUUUUAGACUUUGACCCCUAAACGUUUACCUCUAUGAUUUUGGCCCCCUUUAAAUUCUUCUACCCAUAGCCAUAGGGACCAAAAUCAUACAAAAAUUUAUGGUAGAAAAAUUUAUUACAAGUGAAAAGUUAUGAGCUUUUUGAAUGCGAUAAAAAUACUCCUUAUAUUCAUCUCUUCUAAUAAAUUUAUAUAAUACCAAAACAUCUAUACAGUACUUUACCAAUGAGUAAAUUCUUUUUUAUAAUGAAAUAAUUUAUUUAGAUAAAUCAAAAUAAUUUAUUUAACUUUAUCUUCCUACUCUAUACCAUAGACGACCCACAAUAAUCUCUAACUCUUCUCAGAAUCACUCUCAUCGCCUCUGUUAUUUUUUUUUUUUCCCAUUUACACUAUUUUCUUUCAAUUUCAUCAUUAAAUAUAUAACAACCCUUACUCAUUAAAAUUUUCCACCCUUGAGUUUUUAUUUAUAAAAUCAAAAAAUUGAAAUAAAUUCAUUAGAAAAAUACUUUUUACAUGUGUUUUCUUAUUUUCUCUUUCUGAAUUAUUCCCUUGUUUUAUCUUUUUUAAUUAUUUCUUUCGAAUUUUGCAUGAUACAUUUUAUUUUAAAGAUAAGGGAGUCUGUUAAGUCUAAAUCAAUUUUUUUAACUCAAACUUCCUUAAGAUUCAAAAUCAGUACUAAUCAAAAACAAUUUCUUGAAAACUACUUAUAACUGUUAAAAACCAUGCAAUCAAACCUUGGGGAGAUUCUAAAAGGUUUUAAUUAGACAUAAUUUUUGAAAUUUCUUUCUGGGAAAGUGAUGCUUCAAAAGCAAAACUCUUUUUGGGACAUAAUAGCUGUCUUGCAGAGCUCUAUCUCCCGAGUCUCAGCAAUUAUCUUCCCAGUUCCUGAUAAAUAAUAAUAAUAAUAAUAAUUCUUUAAAAUUCAAAUUUAAUCUUUUAUAGCAUUGCAUAAAUUAAGUACAAAAAUGCUACAUAAAACACUUAAGAAAAAUGGUUAUUUUUACCAUAAAUGAAGAAGAGGAAUAGAAGAAUUGAUACAAGAGAUAAAUUGGCCAUCUGCUUUUUACUUUAAUUUCUUUUUGAACAAUAAUAUCGGUGAGAUAAUGUUUCAGAAAAUAAUCUUAAAUAACAAUGGUGAGAUAGCGUUGGACAACAUAAACCACGAAGCUAAGAAUUAAAUAAUCUCUGAACCCAUCGACGGCCCCCACACCACCAUCCCCCAUGACUGCAUCAACAUUUAAUUUAAAAUGGACAAGCGGAGGUGGGUGCCAAGGCGUCGCAACUGCUUCUGGUAAACUGAUAACAUUAUCUUUUUUAAUUACUUGGUGUGUGGCCAAUCUAAAAUUAAAUUAAUGAUGUGACACCUAACUUAGGCAUUAAGUAUGCGGGUCCCACAAGCCCAUAAUGGCUACCUUAGUGUUGGAGGUAUACCUACGGGGAUUGCUUGAACUUCCAAAAGCUUAUAUUAAGUGAUCAUUGGGCCCUUUGUUUAUGGGUUAAGGACUAUGAUUACUCUAGUUGGUGAAACUUCCAAUAGCUCGAUUAAAUUAUUUCAUCAAUUGCUCUGUUUGUAGAAUGAAUACUCGAUCCAUGGCACAAGGUGCUGGGUUCAAAAAAUGCAUCAAAUUUGACGGUUAGGAAGAGUUGGUGAAUGUAAAUUUCUAUACCUAGAUCUCACAUCAGUUGUUCAAUUAAAGUCCAUUUUCCCUUAUUUAUUUUUAUUUUUAUUUUUCAAUUCGGUAAAGAAAUAUGACUAUUGCUCAAAUGAAAAAGACAAAAACUUUUCCUUUAGACAUAAAAGAAAAAAAAAAGCAAAGCAAAAAAAAAAAAAAAAACACACACACACACACACACACACACACACACACACACACACACACACACACACACACACACACACACACACACACACACACACACACACACACACACACACACACACACACACACACACACACACACACACACACACACACACACACACACACACACACACACACACACACACACACACACACACACACACACACACACACACACACACACACACACACACACACACACACACACACACACACACACACACACACACACACACACACACACACACACACACACACACACACACACACACACACACACACACACACACACACACACACACACACACAGAUAUAUAGUCACCUUGCUGAUUCUUUCAUGUCAGAAAUUAAUUAAAUGUCUCGCUUUUUAUCUUUAAUUAAUUAGCCUGCUGAAAAAUACUUUUGUAUUAUCUGUGUACUAUUGUUUACAGAAGGUUACAAUAAUGGUGCUGAAGGUUAACCUUCAGUGCUCAAAGUGCUACAAGAAAGUCAAGAAAGUACUGUGCAAAUUCCCACGUAAGUGUCUCUCUGAUCGCUGGCCAUGUCCAUUUACAUAUAUUAUAUAUUAUGGUUUCGUAAAAUGUUUUAUAAUGACAUAAAAUUCUGAAUUCGCGUGUUAUUUGGUGAGGCGCAAGUAGAAUUGUUUAUUUUGUGUUUGUAAAUAAAAAAAAUGGCUGACGGAUGGUGGGCUAAGAUAUUGUGUUUGAACUUUUUGACCAAAGAAAUACAAGAACAGUUUUUCGAUGAGAAGACGAAUACGGUGACAAUAAAAGUAGUGUGCUGCAGUCCUGAAAAGAUCAGGGACAAACUGUGCUGCAAAGGUGAUGCACACACACACACACACACACACACACACACACACACACACACACACACACACACACACACACACACACACACACACACACACACACACACACACACACACACACACACACACACACACACACACACACACACACACACACACACACACACACACACACACACACACACACACACACACACACACACACACACACACACACACACACACACACACACACACACACACACACACACACACACACACACACACACACACACACACACACACACACACACACACACACACACACACACACACACACACACACACACACACACACACACACACACACACACACACACACACACACACACACACACAGAUAUAUAGUCACCUUGCUGAUUCUUUCAUGUCAGAAAUUAAUUAAAUGUCUCGCUUUUUAUCUUUAAUUAAUUAGCCUGCUGAAAAAUACUUUUGUAUUAUCUGUGUACUAUUGUUUACAGAAGGUUACAAUAAUGGUGCUGAAGGUUAACCUUCAGUGCUCAAAGUGCUACAAGAAAGUCAAGAAAGUACUGUGCAAAUUCCCACGUAAGUGUCUCUCUGAUCGCUGGCCAUGUCCAUUUACAUAUAUUAUAUAUUAUGGUUUCGUAAAAUGUUUUAUAAUGACAUAAAAUUCUGAAUUCGCGUGUUAUUUGGUGAGGCGCAAGUAGAAUUGUUUAUUUUGUGUUUGUAAAUAAAAAAAAUGGCUGACGGAUGGUGGGCUAAGAUAUUGUGUUUGAACUUUUUGACCAAAGAAAUACAAGAACAGUUUUUCGAUGAGAAGACGAAUACGGUGACAAUAAAAGUAGUGUGCUGCAGUCCUGAAAAGAUCAGGGACAAACUGUGCUGCAAAGGUGAUGGUUCAAUCAAGACUAUUGAAAUCCUGGAACCAAAGCCGCCGCCGCCGCCACCAAAACCAAAACCAAAACCAUCACCACCACCGCCGGCACCGGCUCCGGAACCAAAACCCUCACCACCACCCCCGGCACCGGCUCCGGAACCAAAACCGUCACCACCACCCCCGGCACCAGCACCGGCUCCCCAACCAAAACCAUCACCAGCCCCACCACCGCCGCCGCCGGCACCGGCUCCGGAGCCCGUUCGGUGUUACCCACCAGUUAGGACAUGCUGCAGGGAAUGUUAUGAGGGGCGUGGUGGGGGACCGUGUUACUCACCUGUUAGGGCAUGUUGCAGGGAAUGUUCCGAGGGGCGUGGUGGGGGACCGUGUUACUCACCUGUUAGGGCAUGUUGCAGGGAAUGUUCCGAGGGGCGUGGUGGGGGACCGUGUUACUCACCUGUUAGGGCAUGUUGCAGGGAAUGUUCCGAGGGGCGUGGUGGGGGACCGUGUUACUCACCUGUUAGGGCAUGUUGCAGGGAAUGUUCCGAGGGGCGUGGUGGGGGACCGUGUUACUCACCUGUUAGGGCAUGUUGCAGGGAAUGUUCCGAGGGGCGUGGUGGGGGACCGUGUUACUCACCUGUUAGGGCAUGUUGCAGGGAAUGUUCCGAGGGGCGUGGUGGGGGACCGUGUUACUCACCUGUUAGGGCAUGUUGCACGGAAUGUUCUGAGGGGCGUGGUGGGGGACCGUGUUACCAGCUUGGCUACGGGCGAGAGAGGCAGUAUGAUUGGUGCUAUGGAAGGCCAGUGUAUGAGAGUUGGGGUGGUGGCUGCGAUAACAGAGUUUAUUACAGAGGUCGCUGUUCAGAUUACAUCUGUGAAGCAAAUCCAGCAGCUCCAUGCACAAUCAUGUAAAAUUAACGAUCAUGAAUGGUGAUCGUCAGUGAUCAUGUCGUUUAAUUUGUUCUAGUUGCCUCUCGUUAAUAUAGACUCUACUGGAAAAUCAAAGAUAAAUAAAGGUCGGUGGAUCCGGUGUUUGUGAUGAGGAGUUUUCUAUUAAAAAACUUAAUUUUCAAUUUCGUGAAGUUAAAGUAAAUAAUGUAUUGAUUUUCAUUCUUUUCCAUCUCAUUUUAAUCUUAAGAUAAAAAAAAUACGUUAUAAUAUUGAUUUGCUUUUUCAAUUAAUGGUGCAUUUUCGAUUCCUAAGGGCCUGUUUGGUACCAUUUUUCACCCCUUGUUUUUGUUUUCGUUUUCAGAAUCCACAAAGAUACAUGUUUGGUGCAUUAAUUUCAUAGAACAAAUUACAAAAUAAGGAAUUCAGAUUACACUUUUAUAACUACAAUUGUGAAAACAUGUUAAACAUGUUCUCUAAAUAUUACAAGUCUAAACUCAAAAAUAAAUUAAAAAACAAAAUCAUGAGCUCGUGGCUAUAUCUCCUCAUCUGUUUCUCUUCGUCAACAGCUCUCUCUCACCCCCACCCCCAUUCUUUCUCGAUCUUACAGCAGAUCUUUGUCCUCUCUCUCCUUAUCUUCAUCCAACAACACACACUCUCUCCUUAUCUCUCCCGAUCUACUCUCUCACGGUGUGCCAACUGUUGUCCUUCGUCUCUGCUACCGCUGCAACUUUAUCUCAGCCACUAUUGCAGCUCCGUCUCCGCUGUGGUCGCUACUGCUCCGUCUCCACGUAGCUACUGUUGUUCUGUCUCAGUCUAGCUGCUGCUGCUCUGUCUUGAUCGCCUGGACUGCCGUUGCUCUCUCGGCCUUUUCUCUUGCUGGUAUUUGUUUUAUUUCAGCAAAUUUUGAGUAAUUAUUUGAAUAAUUUUGAGAAAUUGUUUUUUAAAGCAUGUUAUAUUGUGGAUUCCCUUAGUUUAUGCCAAAAUUUUGGAAUUGAUUAUUUGUUCAUACUUUCGUAGCAUGGACAAGGACAUGAAGUUUGUUCUCAAUCAAUUUUAAAAAUGGCAGGGGACAAGAAGAUCGGAGUGGCACUGGACUUUUCGCUGAGCAGCAAAUUUGCUCUAUCAUGGGCUGUUAAUAACUUGCGUCUUGCCCUGUGACCAUCGUCAAGAAUCCAAGCUUCGCCAAGCACUGAUCAAAUAUAAAUAGGGCUUUAAUUUACACCCAAUCUUAUGUUAUCCUGGGUGAAUUCGGGUUUCUUGUUUAGAUUUGAGUAUAUUUAAUUCACUUGGGUUGUAAAGAAUUUGGGUGAAUAAAGGAUGAUAAUUCUAAAAAUAGUGCAGUGGCAGAUAAAUAGUUGAAGGUUGAAAUAGAGUUGUCUGGGGAUAGAAAGAAUGACUUCUGUCAAAUAGGCUUGAUUAAUUCAAAUGGCAGAUACUUAGUUGAAAUUACUGCAAAAUGGUUGUGAUUGGAUAUGAAAUACACUGGGCACCUAUGUAUACAUAUACCAUAUAUUAUUUUCAGUUCUGUGUUUUGGACAAUUUGGUUUUGUGUUGGCUUUAUGUUAUGUUUGGAACUGCUGUGCUUUUGCAUCUUCUUUGCUAAACAAGCACUUUUUACUUGAUGGCUGAUGUCUACCAACCACCCUCACUUCAUAGGUAGUUAUUGCAUUCGACAAAGCACCUGAAACCCAAACGAAGUCACAAUGGCAAGUGAGACUGAGGCAAGGCCUUCCAUCGCAGCAAGCAAUACUAAGGGCAUGGUCCCAAGCUCUGGAUUUGCAAAUAACUUAAAUUGUUGCUGUAUUCGCCAUUGAUUAAAUGUGAAUAUUGUAAAUUACAUAUUGUUGUAUUUUAAUUCUUUUAAUGAAUGAUUUGAUAUGAAAUCUGAAUUGCAGAGAUGAAUGGUAUAGGAAAUAGAAUUUCAAUAUGGCAUGAGUAUACAUGUAAUGCAUGACGUCCAUUAUGUAAUUUUUUAUAAUUAUUAUGUUUAAAUCAUGUGUUAUAAUAUCUUAAUUAGUGUAAAAACAAUGACAAUAUAAACAUUUUUUAAUUAAUGCUGAUACUCAAAUUUUAUUAUCGUGUAAUUUUUUAUAAUUAUUUUGUUUAAACUAUUUGUGGAAUGAUUGUGUAUGUAUUAGUUAAACAAUUACUUUUUAUUCAUAAAUAUGACUUAAAUAUUUAAUAAAAACUGUUUUUGAAAAUGAUAUUACCAAACAUAUUCACUGUUUUUUUCCUCUUAAAUGUGUCCACCAAACGCAUAUUACUGUUUUCAAUUUUAAAAUACAGGAUAUAAAAAAUUAUACCAAACGCAUAUUUAAAUUUGAAAUACAGCACUGCAAAACACCAUUUUCAUUUUCAUUUUUAUUUUUAUAAAAUACAAAUUCAAAAACAAUACCAAACGGGCCCUAACUUUCUCUCUCUUUCUCAUCAUGCCAUGUCUUAUAAUUUUGAUGAUCUUUUUGUUAAAGAUAAAUGUAGUGCCGCCAGAGUCAUAGUAAUAGAAUUUUAUUUAUGUUUCUUGGAAGGGUAUUUUUAAGGUGAGUACUUAUUGUUCGUAGAAAGAAAUUUAGAGAUCAUUGGUUUUCUAAAAAAUUAAUAACAAAUGCAUUUUAGUCAAAUAUAAUCGGCAACAAUGUGGAUUUUAAUUAUCUUUGGGGUCCGCCUAACUUAUGUGAAAUGUAAGUUACGGUCAGCUUGUGAAAUGUCAUCUAGCCCCCUAUGCUUUAUAUUAUUUAUCUUUUAUUUAUAAAUAUUAUAAACUUUUUGAACUGUAAAAUUUCGUCUAAUCCCUUCUACUCAAUUUUAUUUUAUUAAAACCAUAGAGUAUGAAUUUGCCCCCAUAAUUUUAAAUUCUCAAAAUAGAGCAUAGGUGGCUAGAUGAAAUUUCACAGGCUGACCGUAACUUACAUUUAACGUAAGUUAGGUCGGACCCUUCUAUAUUAUUUAUAUUUUAUUCAUGAAUAUUAUAAAUUUUUUUAAAUAUAAAAUUUCGUUUAACCCCUUAUACUCAAACAGCAGUUAUUGAAACCAUAGAGUAUGAAUUCGCCCCCAUAAUUUUAAAUUCUCAAAAUAACCUCCAUUUAAUUAAAAAAUAUAAUUAUUUUUAAAUGAAUUAUAAUUAUAAUNNNNNNNNNNNNNNNNNNNNNNNNNNNNNNNNNNNNNNNNNNNNNNNNNNNNNNNNNNNNNNNNNNNNNNNNNNNNNNNNNNNNNNNNNNNNNNNNNNNNNNNNNNNNNNNNNNNNNNNNNNNNNNNNNNNNNNNNNNNNNNNNNNNNNNNNNNNNNNNNNNNNNNNNNNNNNNNNNNNNNNNNNNNNNNNNNNNNNNNNNNNNNNNNNNNNNNNNNNNNNNNNNNNNNNNNNNNNNNNNNNNNNNNNNNNNNNNNNNNNNNNNNNNNNNNNNNNNNNNNNNNNNNNNNUUUAUAAUGCUUUUUAUUAUCGUUAUUAAUAAUAACAAGAAUCUAUUAAAAAAAUAUUUAUGAUUAUAAUAAAAUUAUAAUUAUAAUUAUAAUUCAUUUAACAAUAAUUAUAUUUUUUUAUUAAAUGGAGGUUAUUUUGAGAAUUUAAAAUUAUGGGGGUGAAUUUAUACUCUAUGGUUUUAAUAAAAUAAAAUUCAGUAGAAUGGGUUAAACGAAAUUUUAUAUUUCAAAAAGUUUAUAACAUUUAUGAAUAAAAUAUAAAUAAUAUAAAGUAUAGGGGGCUAGAUGAUAUUUCACAGGCUGACCGUAACUUACAUUUCACGUAAGUUAGGCGGACCCUUAUCUUUGAGUUUCUUUCUCCGAAUGACGAAGAUUGGGUCAAGUAUAAAUGGGGGGAAAAAACGAUACCUUUUUUUAAAAUGGAAACAAAAGUAAAUCAUGCUUGAUCAAAAUGAAUAAAUUAAAUAAGAAAACUGAAGUAAAGAAAAGGAAACCCUUUCAAGUCAGGCAUUAAAGCAAUGUGGGGUAGAAUGAAUCAUGUAGACACAUAGUUUGGUCGUCGUUAUAUCAAGUGACAGUAACUUGUUUGGCGACGAAUUAGGCUUGAUUGGUCCUGGUCGAGCUUCGAGCUUCAAUAUAUGCCGUAGAGGCUGGAGCCAGCCUCUAUUUAUCCGAAAUUUAUUAAAUGAAUGGAGAAAAACACAACACACCACUAACAUCGGCAGAAAAAGGUUACAUGGGUUUGUUGAAUAUGUUUCAAAAUUUGUUAAUAAUAGGCUGGGUUGGGCUUUUUCAAGCCUAGACCAAGCCUAUGCUAGGGAAAAUAGGUUUAAGUUUUCUAAAAGUUCAUUCAAUUUUGGAGGGAUGGCCCUGGGGUGUCAACAUACUAUUUAAAUAAUUUUUAUAAUUAUUUUAAAUUUAUAAUCGGGUAAUAAUCAAUGAAUUAUUAUAAUUAACAAUAAUUAAAAAUAAUGGGCUCAAAAUAAAAUAACAAAUAAAGAAAAUAAAAACUUACAGAUUUAAUUUAUUAGUACUAAACUCUAAUACAAGCAUAUUCUUAAUUAUUUAAUUCUACUUCCUAUAAUCAAAAAAAAAAAAAAAACAAAGCUAUCUAAAGCCAAAAGGUUUUAAAUUGAUUGAUCUUUGAAUAAUUAAACUUGAUAGAGGAAUAUGAAAUGAUUGGAAAUUGAUUUCUUUUUUAAUUUAUAAAUUUAAAUUCAAUUAUUUUAAAAUAAAUAGAGGACUAGGUCUAGUUGGAGCUUUUUUUUUCUUAAGUCCUUUCGGAGGUGCUUUUGCAGAGGGCCUAAUAUUUUUUUCCAUAUGUCCAGGCCCAUAUGCCUGCCUUGCCUCAGCUUGCCAAACCUGGGCCGGGCAGGCUUGUUCUUUUGGGUCGAGCCUUGUUAAUAAGGGUAUGUUUGCAAGCUUUCUAAACUUAUUGGGUACACGCGUAAUAACUCAAAUAUUUUUAGUAACACAGCGUUGUAUUUUUUGGCGGGAAAGGCUGUCGCUGACACGGCUAACUGAUUUGGUUGACCAGUAGUUGACUUUUUGUAUUUUGUGAAGCGGUUGUUAUGCAGCAAGCUUAGUAUCGUUGUAAAGCUUGAAAUGCCCUUUGUAAUCCUAUGUUAUUUUCUGUAAUCAAAGGACAGCAAGAAGCUCUGUUCUUGGUUACUAAUAUUGUUUUGUAGUUGAAUCUUGUUUCCUUGUGUCUGUUGUAGGUUAAGGGUCAUAGAUUAGUUGUUAAACAAUCUUUCAACUGAAUCCAAUUUAGAUUGGAUUUGCUUUAACACUGUGAAAAACUAAAAGAGUAAUAACAAGUUCACAAAGUUAGGACUUGACGGUCAUUCAUUCUUUAUUCCAAAGUGAACAAUUAAUGAACACAUGGUAUUGAGUGAUUAGUGACUUUGCAUGCCACUUGGGAUACAAAACAUAUAUAGAAAUUAAGCAAAUCUUUUGGCUUAAUGGCUUCAAGGGUAUUGUUUCAGCCCUUCCAUGUAAUCCGGCAACAAGGCGAAAAACGGAGGAGCAUUGAGCGCUAGAAGAAUAUGUGAAAACAAGUUCGUGAUCUGCUCCUUGCAAUACAAGCAUUCCUGGAGAAGUCUAUGUUUCAGUGAUGAAAAUUCAAUGGAAGAUUGAUCGUUAUCUGGAGUUUGAAAGUAGCUUGAAGAGCAUCAUCAGUGCCUGAUUUUGGAGAUUAUUCGAUUUUGAUAUAUGGAUUUGAGUUUGUUAAGAAAAAAGUUGUGUUUCCAGACUCUUUGGAAAAUUUCCUGCAUCAGGACUGUAUAUGCAGUGGAAACAUGGCAAUAUAAUGGAUAUUUCCCGAGAAAAUAUGCACUUACUACUUCAUACUCCCACAAAAUAAAUCAAUCAAGGGUCAAAUGUUAAAAAUCAGCAUUCAAAGUGAAACAAAAAAACCGCAGCUAAAUUGCCUCAUAGAUUACUUGCAGCAAGUCAUUAAUAAAACCAACCAGAACAGAAUAAUGCCAAGGAUAUAUUAUAACCCAAGAUUAAAGUAAAUUACAGCAAAUGUGAUGGCAAGCUCUAGGAUUCUGUCACACCCUAUUUCUUCUUGAUACCAUUUUUGAUUGUUUUCCUACAUUUUCUAGUCUAGCUUUAACAGGUAAACUAAGUCUAAGAAUACCCAUCUGCGUACAACAAGAUUACUAUCUAAUCCUAAAAAUUGAAAUAAACUGUACAAGCUUCAUCCCUAAAGCUUAAUAGUGGUGCCGGAAGAAAAUUCCUCCUUGAUCUUUUUGCCACAAAGCUGAUUGGAUAACACUCGCUAAUUCCUAUUUCCAUCAUGAAACUGGAUGCCUGAUUAAAUCCAGCGGCCAGUGGCUCUGUACUGCAGAGUAGCUUCAGGCUUGCACCCAGCUUGAAGUUCGCAUCACUAGACACAAAAGAUACCCAUUCGGUUCUCAGCCUCCAAGGAUAAAGUUUCAUUCCUUUUAUCCAACCCAGAAACCAAACAAAACGCAGAAUAGACCCCUUCACCCCUUCCUUUGGAGAAUCCGAGACAAGAAAUUCCUCUUCUUUACCUUGCUGCACAAGCAUUCCUGGAAAAUCAAAUGGUUCUGGCAUGACUGAUUUUCCUAUGACAUUGUUGAGUGAUGAAAAAUUGGACAAAGAUGCAUCCUGUCUGAAGGUAGCAUGAAGAGCAGCGUCUAUGGCGUAUAGGGGUGGCAAAAAUACCUACCCGGUGGACCUUGACUGCACCCGGGCAUUUUGGGCUGGGUCGGUCUUGGACACCAUUUGAUAAAUUCAGAAAAAAUAUAAAAUUCAGUUAUCCGAAUUAAAACAUGACACAACCCGGCCCGGGCAUCUAUUGCAUCCGGGUCGGGUCCAGUCAUUGCGAUAGUUAGACCCGGCCCGGGGUUUGCCAGCUCCAAUGGCAGAUACCGGGGAUUCUUCCAUUGUGAUUGAUUGGUUUGAGUUUGACAUGAAAAAAGCCGAGUUUUCAGGCUCUUCGGCUGGGGUCGGGCUGUAAUGCAGCGCUGCAUGUCGUGCAGCUGCCUUUAUUAUUUUUUUAAUAAUGCGGAUGUAACCGGCCACCGAUACCCUCCUUUUAAUCGCUUAAAGAGCAAAUGUUAAAAGAAACUAUCAUACAGCUCCCUCGUUUUAGGAAAUAUUAAGAUAAUUAAUUCAAAACUAGUAAAUUAUCAAAUACCCCCUCAACUUUACACCAAAAAAAUACUUCCCUUUUUCUUUUUAUUCAUGGAAAAUAUAGUUAAUAUAUUUAACUUCUAUCCUAAAAGAAACAUAAUUAAAUCAAAUUAAUUGGACUAAUAUAUUUAAAUAAAAAUAAUUAUAUUAUUUUUCUUAAUAUUGCAUUAUAAAUUUAAUGAUAUUUUGCUUUAAAAAAUGUAACUUAUGUACUAAUGAGAAUACUAUUUAAAUAUAAUAAAUGGAAAUAAUUAUAUAUUAAUUAAACAAUUUUUAAUUUAUUAAUUGCACUAUUUUUAAUAUUAUGUAAUAAAUGUAAUGAUAUUUUGCUUACAAAACUAUCAAAAUAAUUUUAUCAACUUUUAAUUACAUUAGAAUCCGAGUAUCUAAACAUAUAACGAAAUCGAUUUAUUUCUAGAUAUUUAGAAGAAAUCAAUUCUAGGAUCUCACGAUACACAUUCGGGGACUUAAAUCCCUACCUACUAAAAUGAGGACAAUAUUUAUCCAACUAUCAAAUAAUUAUCAUUCCAAACAUCGUAGUUACCCCUCAAAUAUUGUUGUUGUUAUUAUUAGUGACCAAUAUUAGUAUGUUUUAUGUAUACCCUCUAAAAAAAUAUUCAUAUAUUACAAAAUAUAAAGCAUAUUAUAUUUGAUAUUUUUAAAUAAAACUCAUAAUCAAUCUCUUGUGCAAAUUAAUUCAUACUAUCUUAAGUGAGAUUAAUUAUUUUAUUUAAUCCUUUUUGCUAUAAUAAUUUUUUUGUUAAACAUUAAUCAAAUUCAUAAUGGUACAUAACAUGGAUAAUUACAAUUUGAAUGCAACUAAUAUUGAAUAAUGUUGUAUUAUGUUAUACUUACAGUUAUAUAAUUUAAGCAUGACAAUUAUAUUUCUAAAUUAAAUUAAAUUAUUUGAGUAACAUUGCACUCACUAUAUGGGUACAUGAUUUGUCUACUAAAUGAUGUGCAAGUAUUAUAAAAUAUGUUCAAUCUUAAAUUUAUAUCUAUAUUUUUUUGAAAUUAAGUUAAUUUAUAUCACAACCAAAAAAAAUUAAAUUAUUUAAAAAUAUGAAAAAUAUAAAUUCAUUUUCAUAGUAAGCAGUAUGUUUUACUCUAAAUUUAAUUUAUAUACUUUGAAUAUAAUUUUUUCAAUUUAGUUUUUUUUAACUGAUUAAGCAUCAUGGUACUGUAUUACACAGAUAUUUACAACUGUUAUAACAGCAAAUUAUUAUACUGAUAUUUACAAUUAGAUAUACAAACUAAGACUUAUAUUAUUACAUUUUAAAUUCUAUGAAGUAAGUGCUCAGACAAAUAACCCUCACAGAGGAGGAGUGUCUCCACUCUACUCACAUUUCAUAAGGCACUCGUAUUUCGUAAGGGAGAAAAACUUUGUAAAUAAUCUCCAUAUAAUUAUGUUUAAUUAAGGGAGUUUGAGUCUAUGGGGACUCAAACUAUUGCCCUCAUAGUCAUGUUUUACUUUAAUGGUGUGUUUACUUCAUGGAAUGGGGAAUGAGAAUGAAGGAAUAAGAAUGAAACCUAUAUUUACUUGACAAAAUAUAAUUUGAGAAUAAGAAUAAAAUGUGUGGGUCCCACACAAUUUAGGAAUAAGGAAUGAGAAUCCCAUUCCCGGGGGUUGUGAAUGAAAAUGAGGGAAUGUGAAUGAAAUAUAUGUUUACUUUUGUAUUCCUUUAAUUUUUUCAUAUUUUCUAAAUUACCCUCAUUCAAAUCACAAUUAAUUUUAUUAUUUUAAUUUAUCAAAAUUUUUAUUAUUAUUUUAAAUGUCAUUAAUAAUAAUAAUUAUUAUUAUUAAAUUUUAUUAACUUUAUUAUUUUAGUUAUUAUUAAUUAUUGUUAUUAUUAUUUUUAUUAAAAAUANNNNNNNNNNNNNNNNNNNNNNNNNNNNNNNNNNNNNNNNNNNNNNNNNNNNNNNNNNNNNNNNNNNNNNNNNNNNNNNNNNNAAAAUACCCAUAGUAUUAAUAAUUAAUAAAAAUAAUUAAUUUAUCAUUAUUAACAAUAUUAUCAUUAUUGUUGUUAUUAUUACUAUUAUUAUUAUUAUUAAAAAUAAUAUUAACAAUAAUUAAUAAUAACCAAAAUAAUAAAGUCAAUAAAAAUUAAUAGUAAUAUUAUUAUUAUUAUUAUUAUUAUUAUUAUUAUUAUUAUUAUUAUUACUAUUAAAUUUUAUUGACUUUAUUAUUUUGGUUAUUAUUAAUUAUUGUUAAUAUUAUUUUUAAUAAUAAUAAUAAUAGUAAUAAUAACAACAAUAAUGAUAAUAUUGUUAAUAAUGAUAAAUUAAUUAUUUUUAUUAAUUAUUAAUACUAUGGGUAUUUUGGUAAAUUGAUUUUCAUUCCCAUUCCUCAUUCUCAUUUAUUUUGUCAAGUAAAUACAUCAAUGACAUUUCAGCACAUUCUCAUUCCCAUUUAUUUUUGCCGAGUAAACAUUAAAAUCUCAUUCUCAUUCCAGCUCAUUCUCAUUCUCAGCCCAUUCAUAUUCUACCACAUUCCCAUUUCAUGACGUAAACGCACCAUAAGGUCAAUGGUUCGCCACUGGGCUAAAGCCUAAGUGGCUAAUUUAACUUAAUAACAACUAAAUUUACUCUCAUGGAUUCAAACAUCAACUAUUUUAUUUUUAAUUCAAAUGAUUUACAACUGCAUUAAUUAGUACCCACAACGUGAUUAUUAAUAUACUUACAAAGUAAUAUAUCUCAUUUAUAUUAAAUUAUCAAUAUAUUUGUAGAAAAUUAAUUUUAUAUUAGCACAAAAGUUUAAAAUAUAUAUUUUUUAUGUAAAAUUUAUACAUAGAAAAAUUUCAUCUUGGUAGGUAAAACUAUCGCCUCAAUGAAAAUAUUAUUUUCAAAUUACAAAAAUGAAUUUUUAGAUUUUGAAUGGUCACAACAAAUUUAUCCGUGGAAGUUUUGUCAUACAUCAUCACUCUUUUGUUAUCCUUUUUAUUAAUUUGAAAACUUUCACAUUUUUUUCUAAUUUCUACCGAAAAUAUAAAUACUCACAUUGUGACAUUUUUGUUUUGGAAACCCUAGCCGCUCUUCUCAAAUCGUCAAACACACUCACUCACGUCAAACCCUCACAAGCCAGCAAGCAAGCAGUCAUUGCCGUCUUCAUCCUAUGCCUGUUACGGUCCUUUCCAUUAGCCAGUAGUCGUCACCGCAUCUCACUUUCUCUGUAUGCAAAUCCUAGACCUGCGAGCCGAAUCAAGUGGUGGAUUUCAAUCAGAGGCCAUCGUUGACCGUUAGAAAGAGCCAUCAUCUCUUGCGCUGCCAAAGCAUGGAGAAGGUUGGGGAUCAAAUUCAUUAAAACCGAUCGGGUAUACCUUAUAAAAAAAAAAGGGCAAAAACAGUGAAAGUCGAAUCCCUAAACCUAAUUCCUAGAUUCCCAAUUUUCUAAAGCCACAAACCCGAGGAAUUCUUAGCCAAGCAGGUGGAUUUUUAAUUUCUCUAUUUAUAGGUGUAAAAAUAAGAAUUUUAUUAUUUGAAAUUGUUUUAUUCUCUAACCAGAAUUAAAAACAUGGGCAGGGAUUGCAGCAAGAUGAAAAGCUACAAAAAGCCUAGAAAGAAACCAAAGCUAGGUAGGAAAACCUUUAUUUAUUUAUUUUCUGCUAUAUAUGUGAAUGCAAAAUAAGUUAUCAGUUCUCUAUCUAGAGUGUGAACAUAGCGAAGUUCGAUGAUUUAUUUUAUUUUUUAAAAAUUAUAUGAACUAUUUUUAUAUAGAUUUUGGCAUCAAGUAAUAUACUACAGUCUACAGUACAUGCAGGCCAAUGUAAAUUUGAGCCAUAAGCUUGUUUUCCUUGGCUUUAGUAUGGGGCUAAGUGAGCAUUGUUCUGUAUAAUCUAUUUAAUUCUAUUUGGUAGAGCCAAGUGUUUAAAGCUGAUGAUGGAAUGGAAUCGGCCUGAAUUUUUUAAAUCUUAACAUUUGGAUUUAGAAUGAACUUUUGAAAACUUGCUAGUUCAUAAUUCUGAAUAUUGUUUCUUUUUUUGGCCAAUGCGAAGUUGUGUCAGCUUGGUAUUGUGGUUUUAAAUCCUUUUAUAAAAGAUAAUUGUUAAACGUUUGUUUGCCCCCCAAAAGAUUUAUUUACGAAUCUUGUUAUGUAUUUUCCACAGAAUUCUUCGUGAGGGAAAGGAAUGCCGGAGACUAUGAACCCAAAGGAAAACAUGACGACCUUCAAAAGUAGUAGAAGGCAUCCAAGAAGUAUCCAAAAUCGAGCCAGAAAAAGAGUUUUCAGGUUUGAAGUUGUUUCCUUUGGUAUUGUUUAUCGUUGUAAUUUAUAAUUGAAUAUUUUGAAUUUGUUGUUUUAGUAAACCAAAUAUUUCAUCAUUUGUUGUUUUCAGUUCAUUUUUUACAAUACUUGCUCCAAUGCAAAUCAGUGACCUGACCUGAAUUAGAAAUCCAAACCACUUUGUAACCCAAACCGACCCGAAAAACUGCGAAUUGAAACCAAACCAAACUGACUUUGAUACCAAACCAAACUGAAAUAACUUUUCAACCCCUUUGGGUUGAAUUCUUGAACCCAAACUGGUUGUAAUCUAAAUUGAAAACUGAAAACACCAACAAAAAACUGAAAUGUGCGACCCUAUUCAAGACUAUUGUAGUGUCUUAUAAGGUGAGGUUGAUUUCGAGCUCUCCUUGAAGGUAUGAUAUGCAAUCUGCUGUUUUUUUUUUAAUUCUAUUGUCCUCUAUCAUUAUUUGUAAACAUGUUAAGAUUUUGGUUUAUGCUUAUUGUUCUGUAGUAAGCUCACCAAUGUGUAGUUUUUGAUACAAAUGAUAAAAGGGCUAUUAAUAUUAGAUGAUGCUAUUUGAUGAUUUAUAUUAUUCAUGCAAUCAAGUUUGUUCUUGUUCAUUGUAGAUGUAUUCUCCAUUUAUCUUCGAAGCAAUCAAGUUUGUUCUUGUUCAUUGCAUAUUGAAAUUUUAACCGUUUCUUAUAAAUAAAGUUGCUUUGAGUUUCCAACUUCAUAAAAGCAAUAAUAUUUAUCUUAUGGUGAGCAACAGUAUCAUCUGCUGUACGGCCAAGGCGGAUGUACGGUACAGCAGAUAUAGCAGCAUUUGAAGUCUAGCUUUCGGAAGCUGUAAAUUGAUUUAGUUUUGUAUUGGUUUUAUGUGAUGUAAAAAAUUUUAAAACAUGUUUAGAUGAAUGGAAAUUUUGAUUUCCUUUACUUUUUAGAGCACUGGAUAAAUUAAUAGUGCAUUAUAAUUUCAUUUACAAACAAAUGCCAAUAAACCAUUUAAAAAAAAUUUAAACACGCCUAGAUCAUAAUAAUAAAUGUUGUUACUAUAUCGUUAUAUUUUCAUAAUGCCAUACAUUAGUCAUAUUAAACAUUGAAAAAUUAUUUUAGUUAAGUCCUGAAAAUUUGAAAAAUUUUUUAAAAGAGGGUGGUACUCGUUGAGACAAAAAUGAUGUUAACAAAUUAUAAUUAUUUAAGUGAUAAAUGAGCAUAAAUGUGAACAAAGGUCAAAAUUUCAAAUAUAGAUGAUGAAACUCAUGAUCGAAUCUCGCGAGGUGUUGAGUAAUGAUUUCGACCAAAAAAUGAUAUUUCAACACUUAAAAGUUUUGUAACUUGCAAAAAUCAAUUGCAUAAUCAAAAUGUUAAUGAUAUCUUAAUAAUCUAAAAGAGUGCAAAAAUAGCGUAGGACAUAUGUACAUUCUUAUUAUAUUUAAUUAUAAAUCCCACAGGAUAUGAUAUUAAUAAUAAUAACUGUAGUAAUAUCCAACAAGCACACAUAAAAAAAAAAAUAGAGAUGUUCAACUAAAAUAGAUUAACUAAGCUUUAAUCUUGUAAAUUAAAGUAUUUUUGUAACUUAACUUAUAUCAUCAUAGCUUUAGAAGCAUAGCAAUUGCAAUCCUUCUUACUUGUUAUUUAUUUAUUUACCGUUGACGUUAUGGAAAACUAAAGCAAUUAAUUUGAAAAGUAAAGAGAAAAUGAAAAUAAAUGUAUAGAUUUAUUUUUAAUAUAAUUAAACGUUAUUAAUUAAAAUGAUUACAAUGAGAAUAGAUAUGUAUAAAAAUUAAAAGCUGAAGUAUACAUACAAUCAAAUUCAAAAGAUUGCAUGAAGUAAUGAAGAUGAAAAAAAAAAGGACUUGGAUUAUGGACUCAAAAUGUUGAAAAUGAUGAAGGGUUGCAAUAAAAAAAUUCUUAGUAUUAUGUGGUAAAUUGAUAUUUGUUAAAAUAGUAAGGGGUCAACCAUAAUUUGCCUUAUUGAUAUUAUUGUUAUUUUCAACAAGUAAUUUAUUAUUAGUAAAAAAAAGGACCUGAAACAUGUACUGGUAGUGUUGGAAUAUAAUAAAAAUAAUAGGAACAUAAAACCAUUAUCAGAGUUUAACAAGAGUUGAGGAGCAUAACUUAAAAGUUUGAAAAACUUAACAAGAAUAGGAUAAAGUUUAAUCAUAAGUCGAGAUUUAGAAAAUGAACUUAAAAUAUCUAAGUAAAAUGUUAGAAAUCAAUUAAAAGAGUUGGAAUACAGAACAAAAAAAUAGUGGGAACAAGAGUAGAAGAAGUUAACCUAAAAGUUGAAAUAACUUACCAUGAAUUUGAUAAAUUCAAACCGAAGUAGGGAUCUAAAAAGUAAAUUUGACAUAUUUACCCAAAAUUUGAAAUUCAAUAAAAAGAGUAGGAAUAUUGAACCAAAAAGUGGUGAAAAAAUAAGUUGGAACAACUUAGAUUUUUUAUAUUUUUUAUAUAAUUUCUCUUUAAUUUAAUUAUAUAAUUAAAUUACAUGCAAUAAACCUACAAUUCAAGACUGCUGUACGGCCAAGGCGGAUGUACGGUACAGCAGAGAUUUAGAAAAUGAACUUAAAAUAUCUAAGUAAAAUGUUAGAAAUCAAUUAAAAGAGUUGGAAUACAGAACAAAAAAAUAGUGGGAACAAGAGUAGAAGAAGUUAACCUAAAAGUGGCCGUACAGCAGUAUGAAUUUGAUAAAUCAAACGCGAAGUAGGGAUCUAAAAAGUAAAUUUGACAUAUUUACCCAAAAUUUAAAAUUCAAUAAAAAGAGUAGAAAUAUUGAACCAAAAAGUGGUGAAAAAAUAAGUUGAAACAACUUAGCGAUAACUAGAUAAAGUCUAACAGGAUAUAGAGAUAUAAAAAAUAAACUUGAAAUGUUAACCUAAAAAUUUGAAAUUUAAUAAGAAGAGUGGAAAUAUAGAACAAAUAACUGGUGGAAAAAUGAAUUGAAACAACUCACCAAGAAUUUGAUAAAUUUUAACGAAAAGUGGGGAUCUAAAAAUUAAACUUGAAAUUUCCAAACAAAAAUUGGGAAUUCAAUAAAAAGAGUAGGAAUAUAGAACCAAAAAGUGGUGGAAAAAAGAGUUGAAGAGGUUAACCUAAAAUUCGGAAAGAGUUACCAAGAAUAUGAUAAAUCCAACAAUAAUUAUGGAUCAAAAAAUAAACUUGAAACAUUCACAAAAAAUACUUAAAUUAAAUGAAAAGAGUAGAAAUAUAGAACAAAAAAAAUGGUGGAAACAAGAGUUGAGGAGCAUAACCUAAAAGUUCGAAGAACUUAGAAGAAUAUGAUAAAGUUUAACAAUAAGUUGAGAUCUAUAAAAUGAACUUGAAAUAUUUAACCAAAAUAUUAGAAAUUAAUUAAAAGAAUUGGAAUACAAAAACAAAAAGUAGUGGGAACAAGAGUGGAAGAAGUUACCCAAAAGUUGAAAUAACUUAACAAGGAUUUGAUAAAUUCCAACGCGAAGUAGGGAUCUAAAAAGUAAAUUUGACAUAUUUACCCAAAAUUUGAAAUUCAAUAAAAAGAGCAGAAAUAUUGAACCACAAAGUGGUGGAAAAAUAAGUUGGAACAACUUAACGAGAACUAGAUAAAGUCUAACAGGAUAUAGAGAUAUAAAAAAUAAACUUGAAAUAUCAACCUCAAAAUUUGGAAUUGAAUAAGAAGAGUCGAAAUAUAGAACGAAUAACCGGUGGAAAAAUGAAUUGAAACAACUUACUAAGAAUUUGAUAAAUUUUAAUUGAAAGUGGAAAUUUAGAAAUUGAACUUGAAAUUUCCGAACAAAAUGUUGGAAUUCAAUAAAAAGAGUAGGAAUAGAGAACCAAAAAGUGGUGGAAAAAAGAAUUGAAGAGGUUAACCUAAAAUUCGGAAAUAGUUACCAAGAAUAUGAUAAAUCCAACAAUAAGUAGGGACCAAAAAAUAAACUUGAAACAUUCACAAAAAAUACUUAAAUUAAAUGAAAAGAGUAGAAAUAUAGAACAAAAAAAAAUGGUGGAAACAAAAGUUGAGGAGCAUAACCUAUAAGUUUGAAGAACUUAACAAGAAUAUGAUAAAGUUUAACAAUAAGUUGAGAUCUAUAAAAUUAACUUGAAAUAUUUAACCAAAAUAUUAGAAAUCAAUUAAAAGAAUUGGAAUAAAGAACCAAAAAGUAGUGGAAACAAGAGUAGAAGAAGUUAACCCAAAAGUUGAAAUAACUUAACAAGAAUUUGAUAAAUUUUAACAGAAAAUAAAGAUCUAAAAAUUGAACUUGAAAUUUCUAAACAAAAUGUUGGAAUUCAAUCAAAUGAGUAGGAAUAUAGAACGAAAAAGUGGUGAAAAAAUAAAUUGAAAUAAUUUACCAAAAACUAGAUAAAGUUUAACAAAUUGUAGAGAUAUAAAAAUAAACUUGAAAUAUCUAUCUAAAAAACUGGAAGUUGAUGAAAAGAGUGAAAAUAUAGAACCAAAAGCUAGUAGGAAAAUGAGUUGAAACAACUUACAAAAAUUUAGAUAAAUCAUUACUAGAAAUAGAAAUUUGAAAAGUAAACUUGAAAUAUGCAUUAUAAAUAUUGGAAUGUGACAAAAUAAGUAGGAAUGUAACCAUUUUGUGAUAUGUUUAUAUUUUUUGUACUAUUUUUAAAUUUUAAAUUAUUACAAUCUUUUUCCUCAUUUAAUUAAAAUUUUAUUCUUUUUUUUCCAAAUUUUUUCAUAAUUUUUUCACAUUAAAAACAAAUAAAAAUAUAAUUUUUAUUAUAUUAUCCAGUUAAAAACCGGUUGUACCGGUUGCAUGCAUGCGCUGUAUGAGAUACAGCGCUGCAUGGUAGGUUGACUCCUUGGGCUGAUGCAGGAAUUGGAAUAAUCAAUGCUGAAAGAGAUCGAGCUGACCCAGUCUUGAUGUCCCAGUCCCCACUGGUAUGACUGGCUAGUAGAUAAGGGCCAUAAGUACCGCAUGGAUAGACGCAUAUUCAGGCCAGUCAUCUGGACAUGAAAGCUUUGUCAAUCGAAGAUCAUGCACUAGAGAACAAAAGCGAAAGAAUAAAAUAAAACUGGGACCAAGCAUAUUUUAAAAUGAUAAAGCUACGAAAAGGGUCACUACACCCUGAAUAGCCUCUGUCCUUAGUCUAAGUGUCAAACAAGGUACACAUCCCCAGGACCCCUCACGUCAAUUUGUACUCCCUUCUUAUCAAUUUCCUAUCUAGACAUUCUUUCAAAUUUGUUUGACAUCUCUUUGGUACCCAAAGCCAUCAGACAAUUCAGAUCGUAUUUGUCAAAUAUAAGAUAUUGGAGAUUAAAUUCAGGAGUAAUAUUUUUUCCACAUGUAUAUGUUAAAUGAAUGCGAAUAUUACCUGCUUUGAAGAUAAUUUCAAGGUCAUUCCAAGGUAAGGAUACCAAGAGACUUUUUGAUUCAACACAAUAUGUCCAGAUUUCCAGUCAGGUGAGCUGGAUAUAUACAGGAUGAUGUAAAGACAAAGAAUGUUUCCUUUCUCUUUGAAGUAUAUGGAAUCUCAUAACUUCAAGAAUGAUUUAAUUCCCACACGGUCACAGGAAGAGAACUAUCUCUUGGCCGGAGCAAUGAAAGAGAUUUAUCUAACAUCAAAGGAUACAAGAAAAAAAUCUGGCGAGAAAUGCCUAGUGGCUAGUGGCAUACCAAGUUCUUGGUCAUAACCACAUAAAAAUGAGAAAAACAAAUCAUGAGAUUAAAAAAAUGUCGAGUGAUGUUCAACCUAUAGAAAGGAAAAAUUGAAUCUACUCAAUGAAUCCCCAACCUGUGCCAUAACAGCUCCAAAAGGAGUUGAACUUAUGGAAAAUUAACAACAUAAAUUGACUAAAGUAUAAUCAGAAUAACUUUGCCCUUGCAGUUAAGACUCCACAGAUUUGUCUGCUAUCUGUUGCACAAAGCAUCUUAUAGACCUACUUGAUUGCAAAAGUCACCCAAUUAGUACCAUGACAAGAUUUUUGGGGAAGAGAACCCAACUCCUCCUAAGCACUUCCCUCAUAGGUGAUCCUAUCGUCUUCUUUCAACUCUGGUUCUAACAAAGUACAAAUAUGCGUAAUAGGGAUAGAGUUUAGAAGACGUUGAGUCUCCACAGCAGUUGGGUACUUCAAUAGCAUAUUCUUCUGUCUUUGAGAACCUCUAUAUGUGUAGGAGAGUUGGAGGAGAAGGCAAGGAUAUAGCACAUGAACUUGAGAGGUAUAUACAGUUUUCAAGCGAUCAUACGAGGCCAAAAGUGUUAGGAAUUUCCCCAAGUUAAAAUUAAAAUACUUUCAUGGUAAAGGAGUAGAAACUCCUGGAAAACUUUCUGCAUUAAGUAUUCCACACUUAUGUUCUUAUCGCCUAACAACAAAAUUCGAGUCAUACAAAUUCUACCGUGUUAAAAUUGCCUUCUAAUUUCUAAAGUGAAAGCAUGAAGAUCAGUUGCAAUACGGAGUCAACAAAGGCUGGAUUUAACAAUGUAGCAAGCUUUGAAAUAGAAAAAGGAUUGAGUGAGUAUCAUCCUAUCAGCUUUUUGCAAAGGGAGCAAAGAGGAAUUUCUUCUGGUGCCAUUAAUAAGCAUAAGAGAUGAAUCUUACACUGUUUAUUUCAACAUUCAGUCUUAAAAAGAACAAACAUCUUUGUUGAUAAAUUAGAUGUUUAUUAAAAUUUAGAAUCUGUAAUGGAAAAUUUUCAAUACAUUUAUUUUUUAUUUUUUGUCCUUUUUACAACUUAUAAUUGUUGUGCAAAUUUUAUUAAACUUGCAAGCGCACGAAUCUAUUGUAGAAUAGAUUAAUGGUGACGAGUGUCGAUCCCACGAGAAGGUGAAUUUUAAUUGUGUGUAGAAUUAAUUUUUUUAAAUGGGUAGUUGGAUUUAUGGUAAAGAUGAUUUGGAAUAUCCUAAUAUUUGAAUUGAAAUGACAGAAUUAAAUUAAAGUGGAAACUAUAAUAAUUGUAGCGCUUGGGUAUCUAAAUCCGUAUCAACAUGCACCAUGGGCUAAAUAUUCCUUAUUAGUGUCAAUUAAAUUAUGAGGAGGGAAUCCACACCUCAUGAACCACACUCUAAUCAAUAUGGUGCUAAGGGUUUAUCGUGCCAAAUAAUAAUAACCUUAUAAUAGGGAGCUGGUGAAACCAGGACGGUAUCUAGAUAAGAUUAUUAUUAUUUAUCGACGAGAAGUCAAAACAUCCACAAAAACUAUAGGGGAAGAGAAAAUAAAUUUACCAAAUAAAGCCCAUGACACAUGUUGAGACUUCACCUUCAACCCAAGAGAAAACUAGGGGCAAAAUGAAAAUUUAUUAAAAUACGUAGAAAAUAUAAGAUAGAGAAUGAAUUAUAGAAAAUGGAGUCCAAAAAUGAAUUUAGAGAUAUCAAAUUAGGGGGGGAGGCCCCUUUUUUUAUAGAUACAUUGAGUAAAUCAUGGCCAUCGAAUUAAAAACAGUUUGGACGCUCAGGAUUGCGCCACGUCAUCAGUCAAUAGUAACACGGUUUGACCCGGCUUGAACAGUGACGCGAUUUGAUUGAAAAUAAUCUUGUAUAAUGCAUGUACCAUACGCAAGAUUUUUGGUCCACUGAUAUGCUGCCACGUCAUCGAUCAAAAUUACAUAAGAAUUUUAGUCCAACAAGAUCGUGACACCUCAUCAAUCAAUGCCACGUCAUUGGUCAAUGCCACGUCAUCGUUCCGUCUAUUUGAACAGUGUCGUGAACAGUAACGUAGACAAUACCGUACAUGUGAACAAUGUUAUUUUUUCUUUUAUGCUCCUUCUAAGGUUUUCGACUGUCCUGAGUUCAAAAGUGAUGUCCGUUUUGCCGUCUGAUCUCUCGUUCAUUAUGAAAUGACUAUGAUACCCCUAAAAUACAUAAAAUACUUAAUUAUAAUACAACACACGUAAUAAAAUGACAAGAAGCUUAAAUACAUAAAAGUAAAGGUGUUAGUAAGACUUAAAAUGUAAAAUGACGAUUUUCACCUUUAUAAAUAUACAUUUUCUAACACUCAACAGUAAUUCCCCUUUGUUAUAUACAUGAAGUCUUAAUUAAUUAACUCCUUGUUAGAUUGAUUAAAUUAAGAUACAAAGAAGCUCUCGUAACUUUAUAUGCGAUUUUGCAUAAUUUUUAAUCGACUAUGUACAAAUGUUCCACAAUAUCUUUCAAAUGAUGCCUUCGCUUCAAUCAGAUUUUUAGACGCUUUAAUUACACUACUCACUCAGUGAUUCCCGCUGCACUGACAAGGCAUUUGCUAUGUUUGGCUCUUAAGAAAUUAAAAGAGAAAGGAGGAAAAUCUUGUGAGAUUUUUAGAUCAUAUUUGAGUAAUGAAUUGUAAAUGUUUUAUUCAAUCGACAAUGUACAAAAUUGCUGGUAUAUAUAGUUGUUCAGUUUUAGAAUCCAGUUCAGCAACUUAGAUUUAUAAAUUAACAAACUCUAAAGUGUGUAAGCUAUAUUUUGAUCACAGCCAUUCAUUCAUAACUAAUUUGUUACAUCACAUAAUAGCUGUGGAAUCUCUGUAUAACUGUUCUGCCAACUGGAAUAUUCUUCCUCUGCACAUGAGGAUUGCAUCACCUUACCUGUGUGAGCAUCUCCUUUGGUUAUCAAGUAAACUCCAGUUGGCACACCCACAUGAGUUGAUCCAGGUUCAGCUUCAUUCUCAAAUUUAACAUCCCUUCUCAAACUUAAGUCUCUAGAAAGACUUUAAGUUUGUUUUUGAAGAAGCUGAACUUGGAGUAAGUGAGUGGUUUAGUUAUCACAUCUGCUGUUUGAUCAUUGCUGGACACAAAAGCAAUUUCAAUUUCUUUCUUCUCAACUUUAUCUCUGAUGAAAUGAAUAUCUAUCUCUAUGUGUUUGGUCUUACAGUGACGUACUGGAUUUGUAGCAAUUACAGUUGCACUUAUGCUGUCACUUAAUAACAGAGGAGUGUAGUUAAGUUUUAUACCCAACUCUUUCAGUAAUGAACAUAUCCAUGUUAUUUCUGCACCUGCUAAUGCCAUGGCUCUGUAUUCAGAUUCAGCUGAAGAGUUUGAUACCACACUUUGCUUCUUUGAACUCCAGCUAAUCAAAUUGUUACCUAAGUAUACACAAUAACCACUAGUAGAUCUUCUAUCAUCAGGAUCACUUCCCUAGUCAGCAUCUGAGUAGGCUAUAAGAUCAAAGGAAUCAGAUUUCUUGAAUGUCAAACCAUAGUCAAUUGUUUCCUUUAGAUAUCUGAGUACCCGUUUACAAGCUGUCCAAUGUGGUUGCAGAGGAUUGGCCAUAAACUGACUUUUAACUUGUUAACUGCAUAAGCAAUUUCAGGCCUAGUUAACAUAGCAUACUGCAGCCCUCCAAUAGCUUUUCUGUAUUGAGUUGAGUCGGCACAUUUUUCUCCCACAUGUUUGCUCAACUUUUCAGUAGUUGCUAGUGGAGUAUCUAAGCCAUUACAGUUCUUCAAAUCAAAUUUAAUAAGCAGCUCCUUUAAGUAUUUGGACUAUGACAGUACCAAAGUAUCUUUAUUUCUUGUAACUUCAAUGCCAAGGAAGAAGUUUAGUUAACCCAAAUCUUUGAGAGCAAAAGCAUUUCCAAGAUUACAAAUAAGCUGCUCUAUUUCAACAUUAUUACUCCCAAUGACUAUGAUAUCAUCAACAUAAACUAACAAGAUGAUUAGAUCAUUUUCAUUUUGUUUGAAAAAUAAGGAAGUGUCUGAUUUUGCUCGACAGAACUGCCAUGAUUCAAGAACUGACUUUAAUUUAUCAAACCAGGCUCUUGGUGCCUGUUUUAAACCAUAAAGAGCUUUCUUCAAUGUACAAACAUAUCUUGGGUGAUCUGCAUCCACAAAUCCUUCAGGCUGAGGCAUACAUACUGUUUUAGUUAACUCCCCAUUUAGAAAUGCAUUAUUAAUGUCAACCUAUCUCAACUUCCAGUUAUUUAUCACAGCCAUGCUUAGAAUAAUUCUUAUAGUAGUUGCUUUUACUACAGGGCUGAAAAUCUCCUGAUAAUCCACUUCUUCAGUUUGCAAAAAGCUCUUUGCUACUAACCUGGCUUUGUAUCUAUUUAUUAUUCCAUCUGAUUUUUGUUUUACUCUAAAAAUCUAUUUAUUUCCCACAAGUUUCAUAUGUUGUUCUAGUGGAACCAAACACCAGGUCUGAUUUUUAAUUAAAGCAUUGAACUCAUCCUGCAUGGCUAGCUUCCAGUUGUUAUCACUUAAAACUUCAACAACAAUUGAUGGUGUUUCCAAAGACAAGGCUUUUUUAGUGUUUUAAACUUUAGGCUUAAAAAUUCCAGCUUUGGCUCUAGUUAUAAUAGGAUGUGAGGGAUUGAAUUUAGGAGUGGUUUGAGUCAUUUCAGGAUUUUAGUUUUGAACUUCAGUGUUUUCAGUUGCAGCAGAAUGAUCUAAAGUAUCCUGGAUUUCUGAGUGUAUAUUUGAAACAUUGUUUGGUACUGGAUGAGUUUGGUUAUGAUAGUUGUUAGGGUCUUGAUCAUUAGGGAAAGUAAAAUCUUGAAUUGCAUUUUCAGAUGAGUUUGACCUUGUUGUUGUUGCCUCAUGACUAUAACUUUCAGAAAGAAAAGUCACUAUGAUGAAUUUACUGAAUGAGUUUAAAGACUCAGAUGAUUGAUUCUGUUUUGAAUUUAUGAAUUUUGGAUUUGUUUUGAGAGGAAAAAAACUUCCAUUGAAGUUGACAUGUGCUGCUAUGUAUAUUAUUUCAUUUGAGUUUAGACACAUGUAACCUUUGUAAAACUGACUGAAUCCUAGAUUUACACAUGUAGAAGUAUGAAAGUCGAAUUUAUGUCUAUUAUAAGGUCUUAUGAAAGGAUAGCACUCAGCCAAAUAUGUUGAUGAGAGAAUAAUCUGGUUUCUUUGAGUAAAGGGAUUUAAAGGGAGUCUUGUCAUUUAAAAUAGGUGCUGGUUCUGUUUAUGAGAUAUGUGGCAUUAGAGAAGGCUUCCCACCAAAAUUUCAAAGGUAAUCUAGAUUGAGCAAGAAGGGUCAAUUUAGUUUCUAUAAGGUGUCUGUGUUUCCUUUCAGUUUUUCCAUUUUGAUUAUGGAUGUAUGGACAUGAGUAUCUUAAAGAAAUGUCUUCAUGCUUUAGGUAUGGUUCAAAGACUUUAUAUUCUCCUCCCAUGUCACACUGUAAGGCUUUAAUUUUUAGUUCAAGGCUUUUCUCAACUUGGUUUUUGACAGAAAUGAAUGUUGUGAGUGCUUGUAAUUGGUUUUGUCAUCAAUGAAAGCUAUAUAAUAUCUAAAACCUUGAUUGGAUUAAGUGGGUGCAGGGCCCCAAAGAUCACUGUGAAUAAUCUCAAGAGAUUUUGAGAUUUUUGUUUCACUGUGUUUGAAUGACAGUCUAUGUUGUUUUCCAUACUGGCAAGCUUUAUAGAAAAAUAAACCAGAUGUUCUAUUUCGAAAAGAGAUAUUACAAGUAGACAAGGUUUUAAGAGCAUUGACAUUAGGGUGGCCUAAUCUCAUAUGCCAUAUAUCAAGCAACUUGUUGCUUGUACAAUGUUCAUUACAAUUGACAGACAACAUAGACUCAGGACCAAGUAUUUUAUUUACUGUAAGUAGACUAGGAGUAAUAGUUGAAGAUAACAAAAUUGACUUGGAUUGACUGGAAUCAUGAGGCAAACUCAGCAGCUUGUACAAUCCAUCUUUAGCCAUUCUUUUCAAAAGAACACUCUCCCUUCUCUUGUCCUUGACAACACAACAAGUUCUAUGGAAUUCAAUAGAAACAUCAUUAUCAUAUAAUAGUUUUAAAAUGCUAAUAAAGUUUUUGGUUAUUUCUGGAACAUUAAGGAUGUGGUUAAGUCUGAUAUGAGAUAAUGUGUGUGAAUUAAUUGUGCUGAGCAGUGAGUGACCAACAGAAACUAUUUUGAGUUUAGCUCCAUUACCUACUACCAGCUGAUCACAUCAUUUGUAUUUAGAACUGAUGUUGAGAUUUUUGAAGUCAUUUUAAAUGUGAUUUGUUGCACCACUGUCAAGAUACCAAGCUCCAUCUCUGUGUCCUCCAUUCUCAGCUAUGUAUGCACUCCUCUUAUUAGGCACUUGAUUUGGCAUAUAGUUCUUCUUGAACUUGUACUAACAGUGAGCAGCAGUAUGAUUUUUUCUGGAAUAGAUCUGGCAUGGUCCCUUAGGUUCUUCUUCAUCAAUAGGAUUUUUGCCUUUGAAUUUGUCUAAUGGAUUCAUGACAUGAUUGAAAUUGUUUCCACCAGGUUGUUUUCCAUUUUAACUUCCAGCUGGUCUUCUAACAUAGUUGUUAUUAUUUCCACCAAAGUUGAAGUUUGGCUGCCAAUUCCUCAUUUGAUUUUCUUUGUGAUAAGUCAAAUUAGCUUGAUAAUCCAUGUGACUGACAGAGUGUUGAUAUUCAAUUAUGUUUUUAUGACUCAUCAGCAUUCCAUACACAUCAGAAAGAGUUGUGCCUUCAGGUUGUGCAUUGAUUGUGGUAACAAUUGAAUCAUAUUCAGAUCCAAGGCCAGCAAGCAAGCACAACACAAAAUCUUCAUCACUCAUAUUACUUCCAGCAGCUCUCAGUGCAUCAAAAGUGGUUUUAAUCUUAGUGUAGUACUUAUGAAUAAUAAUUGAUCCUUUCCUGGUAGUCUGAAUUUGAGUCCUCAAAUGGAGAACUCUAGCUCUGGAUCUAGCUUCAAACUAAGUUGCAAGAAUUUGCCACACAUCCAGAGAAGAUCUGGUUCUAACUACAGCACUAAGAACUUCUUCACUUAAGGUUGAAAGCAACCAGCUCAUCAGCUGCUGAUAAUUUCUCCUCCAGAUCUGGUUGUGGAUUUAGAGUUGUGAUUACUAUUUGAUCACUGUCAAUAUUAACCGUAACUCAAUUAGGUGGAAUCUUUGAGUUAUCAAUCAAAUCUUCUAGAUCGUUUGCAUUGAUUGUUGCUAUCACUUGAGAUCGCCAUAGCAAAUAGUUGUUAUUAGUAAGCUUGAUAGGCGCGUUGAAGAUAAGUGAGCUGAGAACAGAGGUGCUGACAUUUGAGAUUUGAUUUGUGUUUACAGUUGAGCUUGAAGCUCCAUUGUUAUUUGUUUGAUUUUCAUUACUCUCCAUUGUUUCUUCUCAGAGCUCUGAUACCAUGUGAGAUUUUUAGAUCAUAUUUGAGUAAUGAAUUGUAACUAUUUUAUUCAAUCAAGAAUGUACAAUGUUGCUGGUAUAUAUAGCUGUUCAGUUUUAGAAUCCAGCUCAGCAACUUAGAUUUACAAAUUAACAAACUCAAGUAAAUUGUGUAAACUAUAUUUUGAUCACAACCAUUCAUUCAUAACUAAUUUGCUACAUCACAUAAUAGCUGUGGAAUCUCUGUAUAACUGUUCUGCCAACUGGAAUAUUCUUCCUCUGCACGUGUGGAUUUCAUCACCUUGUGUGAGCAUCUCCCUUAGUUAUCAAGUAAACUCUAGCUGGCACACCCACAUGAGCUUAUCUAGGUUCAGCUUCAUUCUCAAACUUAACAAAAUCUGUGAGUGAAAGGCGAGUGAGUUUGAGAGAAAAGUUUUAUUUUGUGUUUUGCGAAGAGAAUAUUUGUUUUGUAGUUGUGGCUGAGAUCAUGAAGAAUAAAGUAUUUUCUCCCUAUUCUAAACCUAAUUGUGACACCCCCUCCCCCACGGGUUUAAUUUUUGUGGCGUUUGGUGUAUUAUAAAGUGGUCUAAUACAAAGUUCAUUUUUUGUCAAGCACAAUAUUGUAUUAAUUUAAUACAAUACAAGGUUAAAAUGUGGUGUAAUGUUGAGUGCCAAACACAUCGUAUAUAAAAAAUUAUCAAUUACUAUAAAUGACACAUCACAUGUCAAAUCAUUUAUGAUAAAUUUUGAAAUAAAAUUUUAGAAUACUAGAAAAGUCCAACACAUCAUAUCUCGUUACCUCCCUAUACAUGAAAAUAUUAUUUCCCUUAAUGAAGAAAUUGAGAGAGGUCACCCUAAAACUUUAAUUUAUCUUCACAUUUUACCUAAAUAAUUUACUCUUUUUAGACUUUGACCCUGAAUAUGUGUAAAGAUUAUCAAGUUAUACAAUCAACUUGAGCAACCUCUCCCAAGAUCCCCAAAUCAGAAUUACAAGAUGAAUUAAAGAUUAUCCGAACUUACAAUGAUAAGAAACAACUCAACAGCACCACGAGUUAACAGUAAACAAUCAAAGAAAAGUAAAAGAAACCAAGAAUGAAUCCAGACACAGCAGGUAACGCGGUUCAGUCAAUUCAACAUUGACCUACAUCCACGGAGGAAUAAAUUAACCAUCUUUAUUGAUUAAACCAAGUCUCGUUUACAUUCAGAUUUACAGAACCCUAAUCAAGGAACAAGAGACCUCUCUUUAUACAAGCUCUCUCUCUCCAGAAACCUGUGAAACCCCCUCUGUUUGUUACUCCAGAAUUAGCUUCAACUUUAUAACAACCCAGAAGCAUUCCUAGCAAAGCAUAUGAGCAACAGAUGACUCUAACGACUUUUAAUAGCCUUCACACGUCAUUAAAAAGUCACGCGCGUUGUUCGUGAUUCUUAUAACCAAAACGAUAUAACCAUAGGUCGUUUUGUGAAGAUAUAUAAAGGUAGCAUGAAACACAUAUUACUUUGCCGUUUUGCUUUGUCACUUUGCAGAGGCAAAACGCCGAGCUUCCUAUCGUUUCCUUAACCUUUUUGAUUUGUUUCAUUUUAGUCCAACAAUAUGUACCUCUAUUAUUUUGGCCCCCUUUAAAAUCUAGCUUGGCCUCUAGAUAAAAAAAUUGAUUACAAGCGAAAAUUUAUAAAUUAAAAUUUGGGUAGGUUAUUUGAAUGCCAUAAAAAUACUCUUUACAUUCACCUAAAUUUAUACAAUACCAAAACAUCUAUACAGUAUUUUACCAUCAACUAAACUCAUUUUCAUAAUGACAAUAAUUUAUUUAUUAGAUAAAUUAAACUUAACUUCAUCUUCCUACCCUUUUGUUCCCAUAAUAAAUCCUAAGUCUUCUUAACCACUCUCAAUCUUUUCUGUAAUUUUGUUUCCUUUCAUGCUAUUUGCUUUCAUUUAAUAUUCAAUAUAAGUUGGCAAUGGGAUGGGAUUUCCAAAUUUCAAUCAUGUCUCGUGUAUGUAAAUAGAAUAAAAGAAAAAAUCUCAUUCUCAUCCCAUUAUUAUUUUUUCUAGGAUUAAAAUUUGUCCUAAUCCUAUCCUAUUAAAUAUGUUGUCUCAUCCCAUUAUCCUAAAUAGUCCCAAAUAUAAAUAAAUAAACUUUAAUAUUUUUUAUUUUAAUGAUGAUCAUAAUUCAAUAUAGCAAAAAACUUGAAUAAAUAUAAAGUAGAAUAAUUACAUAAUAGUUUUAUUAUGAAUAAAUGCAUGGUCGAAUACAAUUUUAUACUAACAUUUUUUAAUUGUCUAUUUACUUCAACUGCACGUUGAUAUUAAGACCUACGCUUCAAAGUUAUAGAUUUGGAUAGUAACCAACUUCAACUAUUUUAAUAUGUCCAAUAAUUCAACAAUAUAAUUAUAAACCAAACCAACAGUAAAAGAAAAACCAAAAGUUCAAAGUUUCAACACUAAACCAAAUCAAUCUAGGUUCCAAAGUUUAAGCAAAAAUAAAAAAUUAACAAAAACUUCCAAAACUUGACUUCAAUUAUUAAUUUUAAUUGUGGCUUUUGGCUAACACUUCACUUUCUAAUUAUAUUACUUUAAUUAUUUAAUUUUAGCCUUUAGAUUUCAACUUUGAACGUUAUUUAAGUUAAAAUUAUAAAAUAAUUAAAAAAUUUAAACUAGUUUUAAAAUUAUAAUAUUUAUGAGAUAUAUUAGAUGAGACGAGAUUUUAUAGUUAGUCUUCCUCACGUCCCACAAAUAAAAGCAAAACUUAUUUUUUAUCCUUAUCUCAUCUCCCUUUAAUUUGGGAUGUAAAAAUAUGUUAUAAUCCUAUCUCAAACAAGACGGGAUCCUAGGAUCCCAUCCGAACAGAAAAAAUUACCAUCCCUAACCCCUAGCCAUUAAAAUCUUUCACCCUUGAGUUUUUUUUAUUAUAAAAAUUUGAUAUAAAUAGCACUACAUUAGAAAUACUUUUUAAGUGUGCUUUCUAAUUUUCUCUUUCUUAAUUAUUACCUUAUGUUAUUCUUUUUUAACUAUUUCUUUAAAACUCUACAGAAUAUGUUUUCUUUUAAAGACAAAGAAGUAACAAAGUCCAAAUUAAGUUUUUAACUCAAUACUUCUUCAUUAUACAAGCUUAGUUGACCAAUUAAAUAUAACUAUUUGAAAACCACUCGACAAAGCCCUAGAGUGGUUCUAAAAGAUAUCAAUUGACAUAAUUUUCGGAAUUUAAAAAUUACGAUUCAAAAGCAAAAUUAUAUAUAUAUAUAUAUAUAUAUAUAUCGCUCUCUCUCUCUCUCUCUCUAAAACGGCUGCAAAUUAUUUUUUUGCAGUCAUCUUCAGUGCAAGAAGGCAUUUGCUUGCAAAGCUUAUCUCCUCGUCCUCGGCAAUCAUCUUCGUUGUUCCUGAUAGGUUAAGUCGUCCUCAUCAUCAACAUCAUAAUAAUAAUAAUAAUAAUAAUAAUAAUAAUAAUAAUAAAAAAUGUAAUAGUAGUUCUUUAAUAUUCAAACUUGAUCUUAAAUUAAGUCAAAAAAGUACUACAUAGAACACUAGAAAAAAAUGGUUAUUUUUACCGUCAGUGGAGAAGAGGAAUAAAAGAGUUGAUAAAAGAGAUAAAUUGGCCAUUUUUUUUAAACUUUAAUUUCUUUUUGAACAGUAAUAUCGGUAAGAUAGCGUUUCAGAAAAUAAUCUUAAAAUAUAGAUGAUACUUGAUAAGCAUAGAAAAUUAUUGUUGUACUUUUUUUGAAAAAAAUUCUCUAUUUAUCUUACCAUUGGUAGAGAAACUAACUAAUUUUAGCUCACCAAUUGGGAAAUUGUCGGUCGAACAUACAUGCAACCACAAAUGAUUUUUUUUUCUAGAAGGACCACUUUACCCCUGAAAAUUGUUGCCUAAUCCUUUUCUAAUAAAAAAAAAAAACAGUUUCGUUUACUCUCUUUUUUUUUUUAGUUGGAGAUUGUUUGUUAACGGAGUUUGAAUAUUAAAAAGGCCAAGUGUGCGAAUCUAAUCUCUGGUUGAAGAGAUUUUGGCCUUGAUUGCGGCGAGUAAGGUUUUCACUAUAUAUAUAUAUAUAUAUAUUUGAGACUUUUACUGUCGUUGAUGGAGAAAGCUUAGAGAUAAGGUUUUGAGAGAAGCGAGCGAUGGAAAAUUCAUGGAAGACGAAACACAAAUUAAAUUUUGAAACAGACUUGAAUCAUAUCUUGUAACAACAGCAAUCAUAUUCAAUUUCGUAUUUUUUGUCCCUUUUUUGCAUGUAAUUUUAUAAUGAUUAAAAUACAUAAAUUAUAAGUGACGAUUUAAACAAACAAGUUGUUUAGAUAUACUGAUGUUAACUUAAUAUUUAAAGUAACUUAACUUAAUUAAUUAAAUUAAUUAGAGAUAUUUGUUUUUAUAAUUUAACGAGUCUUUUUAGAUAAUUUUGACUUAAUAAAUAAACUAAUUUUUUUUAUUUUUUUACUGAAUAUAGAAAUUUAAAAAAAAAAUCAACUAAUUUCUAAUGUAAAAAACAUCACUACUUCGUCUAUCCUAAAACCCACUCAUACAUGUUUACCCCACUAACAAUAUCAUCUUUAUUUUUUAGUUGUCAUGAAAUCUCUUCUCACUUUGGAUGAGCGAAUCAACUAUAUCAGCAUUUUAUUAAGUUUUUUUCUUAUAUUAUGUACUAUUAUUGAGAAUUGUGAUAAAAUUUAAAACUUAUGGUAUUUUAUAUAUUAUAAUUCUAAAAUUAUUAUGUAUUCACUUGAACAUGAUUUUGCUUGUAUCUGUUAAAAUAUUAUUUAGUUAUGUUCUUUAAUAAGAAUACAAAUGUAAAAGUAAAUGUUUCUAAUUUUUUAAGUUGAAAAAAUAAAUAAUUUAAUACUUACUUAUAUAUAUAUAUAUAUUAAGACAUUUAAAUUUAUUUAAAAUUCAAAUUAAUUCAGAUUUAUUUAAACUUCAAAUACAACACAAACACCACCUUAGCUUAGACAAUCAAAAUAACUAUUUCACUUUUUACGAAUGAUUUAAUUGAAAAAUAAAUGCAGGUUGAUACAAUUUACAAAUAAUAGGUGGUGCAUAGAUAAUUCAAAAUUUCUUGGUGGUUGUGUUUAUUUAUUUUUUUAUCAAAACUACUUUUUCUCAGUUUUUUAAAAUUUAUUGUAAAUGAAGUGAUUUUACCUUAAUGUCUUUCUUUAAAAUAAUAUUAAAUACUAAAAAUCCUUUUGAGCAUUCCAACAACAAUCUUAUAUUGAGCUUAUGUUUAUUUACUUCACUCACUCAUAGAAAUGUUAAAGAAACCCAAAGGACAAGAACGCAACCAAUUUUAUAAACAAUAUUCGUGCAAGCUUUUGUAAAAAGUGAUGAAUGAUCUAAAUCAAAAGGGUUAUUUAUCGUCAGCCCCCACAUGUUUCGACCAUUAGCACCGGGCACCCACAAGUUUCGACCAUGUGCACUGCACCCCCAUUUCCGUCAAACUACCGUUAACUUAACUCGAAAAAAGGGUAAAAUAAUAAUUUCAUCUAAGAUUAAAAUAAUAAAUAAAAAACAAAAAAAAACUCUUUUUUAUCCUUACUCUUUUUCUCCCUUUUUCUCUCUCUCACGUCUUUUUUCUUUCUUCUCUUCUUCUUCUUCGCGUCUUCUUUCUUUCUCUCUUCUUCUUCUUCUUCGUGUCUUUUUUCUUUCACUCUUCUGCUUCUUUCUUCUUCUUCUUGCCUUUCACUACUGUUGCCCGCUGCGUGAUCUGCCGCCGUCUCAAAUCAACAACAACAAAAAAAUGGCACCCGCUGCGUGAUCUGCCAUCGUUCGAAGCCGCCGACGCCACCGCCUGAACCAGCCACCGUUCCCAUCGCCUCUAUAAUUUAAUUUAGGGUUUUUGAUUUUUAGUUCCUUUUUGUUAAAUUUUCUUGGUUUGGGUUUCUUUUGUAAUAGAAUUUUACAAUGAAAUUUUGGUAUAAUUAUCUUCGGUUUCUUUAUUAUUGGGUUUUGUUUGUUUUGGUGGGAUUAUUGGAAUUAUUUUGUAAUCUACUGAUGAUUUUGUGUUUGAUUUUUUUCUUUCGCUUUGGAAUCAUGCUGUGUCUCUCAUCUUGAAAGUUUACUGGUUUUACAAUUUUAUUAUGAUAAUGAAUGAAGAAAAAAAUCGUUUCAAUAUAAGAUAUUUUAUAAUUAAAUUUUAUUUUUUAAUGUAAAUUUUAUAAGUUGUAAGAGGUAUUUUUGUACUUUUAACUCAAUUCAAUACAAAUUAGGGGUAGUAUGGUAUUUUAAGUUAAUAACAGCCUAAUCAGUUAGAAUUAACUGAUUUUUUGACGGAAAUGGGGGUGCAGUGCACAUGGUCGAAACUUGUGGGUGCACGGUGCUAAUGGUCGAAACAUGUGGGAGCUGACGAUAAAUAACCCAAAUCAAAAUUGCAAGUAAAGUUUAUGGUGUUAUUGCAAUCAAAAUUGCUUUUUCGUCACAUUCGUUUGUACAUGUUGUAUUAUUCUCGCAAAAGUGGUAAAUAGACUUAAAAACAUGGUAAUCUACCACCACCGAAGAUGAAGAAGACCGGAAGAAUCGAUGCAAGAUAGGAGCUGGCUAUUUGUUUUUUUUUUUUUUUUUUUUUUCCUUUCCUUUCUUUAUUUUUGCACAAUGAUGUUUGUGAGAUAGUUUUUCAGAAUUAGUCUAAAUAUGUAGACGAUAAGCUAGCACAAAAACUUGGAACGACAGUGAAAUAAUAUGUGGUUAGUAAUGAAAUUAGUUUAAAAGGUUUUGAAACCUUAUUUUGCUCAAAGCCUUGCAAUUUUUAGGUUUAUUUUUAUUUUUUCGAAAUAGGAAGCAUAUUCAUCAAGACCAAAAGUCAAAUUACAAUGUCAGAAAAAAUAAAAAUCUCCUUAUGAUCUGGCACUUUCUGAGUCACAAGUCGAAACACAUGUUAAAUUAUCCAAAAAACCUCAUUAUGAUUUGGCACUUUCUGAGUCAGAAGUCGAAACACGUGCUCAAUUGCUGCCCAACUCGAAAUGCUAAUGCGUCAGCAUAGUCGUCACUAUCUCUUGUGAAUUACGCACCGCAGCCCACAUCAGCAACAAUCCUGCUACCAUUCCCCCUAGUCACUAUCUCUCAACCAAGAGUGAUUUGAGUCGAGUUAAUUGGAAUAAGAUUGAGAAAGUCUAAAUUCGAAUGUAGCUAUAUCCGGAUAUGUAUUUAUAUUUUCAUAUCCAGAUUUGUUAAUAAAUAUAUGGAUCCGGAUGCAAUCCAGAUUCAGAUUCAUAAAAAUUAAAAUUUGAUAAUUUAAUAUAUAAUUUAAAAUUUAAAAUUUUAAUAAUUUAUUAAUAAUAUCAAAUAAAAUUCAAUCAUAAUCAGACAAUUAGUAAUUUUAACAUGAAUAACAUAUAACAACACCAUAAAUUCAUAAAUAAAAUUUAAUUUUUAAUAUAUAUUUUUAAUUUAAAAUAAACUCAACUAGAUUUAGAUAUUCAGUUUUCUUACUUAUCCCAAUUUUUCACAUCUUGAUGUGUGUUUUUUAAUAUGUGGAUCUCUAUUUUUUGGGAUUUAGAUCUUCCUGAUCCUUGCGGAUGCAGGCAGACUUAGAUUUUAUUGUCAUCAUAAAUUGCAAUCUCUCUCUCUUUCUCCAUCCUUCAAAUGUAAGUUUUUCAUAAAAUUUAAUGUAUGUAAAAUUGUAGUCCCAUUAUAUGUAAUUAUAUGCUGAAAUAGCAGUGCAAAUAUAAAAGUAGAGAAAUAUGAUUGCUCAAAUGAAAAAGACAACACAUUUUCCUUUAGACAAAACAGAAAAAAUAAAGGAAAGCCAGAAAAUGAGAAGAGGGCAAUCAAUUAAAAAGGGUCUGCCUACCGUGCAACAGUUACACGGAACCACUGAAUUUUGUCUUUUUCCAACAAUUACACUACACUACCUUAUAUUUAUAAGAAAACUGAAUAGAUACUAUAAGUUACAAAUUGUUAUAUAUAGGUCUUUUUCUCUGGAUAAAAUUAUAAAAUGACUUUUGAAAAAAAAUUUUACUGUUAUUAUCAUUAUUUGCAUCCGCCUUGGCCGUACAGCAGAAUUUAAAUAAUUUUAGUUUAAUAUUAGUACAAAAUUAAUGCAGUACAUGAUAAUACCAAUUACCAAAUGUUGUAUAAUUUUAUUAUAAUUAUUAUAAUAUACUGCUAAUGUAAUAUAAUAUAAUAUAAUAUAAUACAUGUGGAUUACAUACUGCAAUACAAUAUAAUAUAAUAUAGUGUGCCAAACGGACCUUUAACUUUUUGAGUGAUGAUGGUCUAGUGGGAUGUAGAGAAAGUAAAAAUAAUCGUGGUAGAUCUUUUACAAUGGUUGAUUAGCUAUCAUCACAAAGUUUAGGCUAAUACAAUAAAAUUAACCAACUACCCUAUAUUUAAAAGAGCAUUUGGAAAUCAAUAAAUUUACUAUUUAAUUAUUUUUAAUCAAGAAAAAAUAAUAAAUUAUCAUUACAAUAAGAUUCACAAGCUCAAAUAUCUAAAAAAAUGAUAAUUCUCAAGAAAUAUGAAGCUCAAAUGCUUUUGAAAUAUUCUUAAAAAAAUAAACUAACUUCCUUUUAUGUUAUUCUUUAUUUAUCUUUCUAUAACUUUGUUGGGCUAUAUAUAUAUUUAUAUUUUAUAGGUAAAUUAACAUAUUGUAUGUAUAAAUAAACUAACAUGUCAACUAACGCUAAAAAAAAGUAAUAAAAAAGUAAAUUUUUGUAAUAUUAAAAUAAUAAAAUUUUACAACCUAAGACUUUUUACAUGUUUCUCAUUUUGAAAUUUCACCUUUUUUAUUUUAUAAUUUUCUAAAGUAUCAAGGUUAAUAACCUAUAUUCUUAAAACAUAUUCAAUUUUAAUUAUUUUACAUUAAAUAUAUAUUAUAUAACAAAAAAUAUUAUUUACAUUUAUUAAAUUUUCAUGUGUUUAAAAAUUUUACGUGAUAUUACAUUAUUAUAUUUACACCAUCAAUUAUUUUUAUGAUCAAAUUAAGUCAAUGGAUCAAACUUUAAAAAAUUUUAAAACAACAGAAAUUAUGUAAGUAAAUAUUUAAAAACUUUUAGCUUUUAUGAUUUUGUAAUAAACAGUAGGGACUUAAGUGUUAAUAACCAAUUGAACACAUCCUGACCGUCGAACACUUUAACUAUUGAUCCAUUGGCUGAGUUGAAAAAAGACAAAAAAUGAGGUACCGUGCAACUGUUGCACGGUAGGCGGACCCCAUACAUAAAUGAGAAACAACACUCUCAACGUACGGACAUAAAGACAAUAUUAAUGACAUCAUGAAUGAUACAGGAUGAUUAUGAUGUUAUUCUCUAUUGUGCAUUGUAUUCAGUGGCAAAAUUGCAAAUUUGUUGAAAUACUCUAGUUUUAUUUAUUCAAAUUAUUAAUAAUAUUUUCAUUAUUUAAAAAUUUGGUUCUGUAUAGUUUAUCAAUCUUUUACAUUUCCACAUUGUCACAAUCUUGGAUGAAAAUCAACAUCGUCCCAUUGUCACAAUCUUGAAUAAAUUAAGUACAUAAAACACUUAAGAAAAAUGGUUAUUUUUACCAUAAAUGAAGAAGAGGAAUAGAAGAAUUGAUACAAGAGAUAAAUUGGCCAUCUGUUUUUUACUUUAAUUUCUUUUUGAACAAUAAUAUCGGUGAGAUACUGUUUCAUAAAAUAAUCUUAAAUAACAAUGGUGAGAUAGCGUUGGACAGCAUACACCACGACGUUAAGAAUUAAAUAAUCUUUGAGCAAUGUCAGUCCUGCCUCAAUUGCAACCGAUAACCCAUCGACGGUCCCCACACCACCAUUCCCCAUGACUGCAUCAACAUUUAAUUGAAAAUGGCCAAGCGGAGGUGGGUGCCAAGGCGUCACAACUGCUUCUGGUAAACUAAUAACAUUAUCUUUUUUAAUUACUUGGUGUGUGGCCAAUCUAAAAUUCAAUUAGUGAUGUGACACCUAACUCAGGCAUUACGUAUGCGGGUCUCACAAGCCCAUAAUAGCUACCUUAGUGUUGGAGGUAUACCUACGGGGAUUGCUUGAACUUCCAAAAGCUUAUAUUAAUUGAUCAUUGGGCCCUUUGUUUAUGGGUUAAGGACUAUGAUUACUCUAGUUGGUGAAACUUCCAAUAGCUCGAUUAAACGAUUUCAUCAAUUGCUCUGUUUGUAGAAUGAAUACUCGAUCCAUGGCACAAGGUGCUGGGUUCAAAAAAUGCAUCAAAUUUGACGGUUAGGAAGAGUUGGUGAAUGUAAAUUUCUAUACCUAGAUCUCACAUCAGUUGUUCAAUUAAAGUCCAUUUUCCCUUAUUUAUUUUUAUUUUUCAAUUAGGUAAAGACAUAUGACUAUUGUUCAAAUGAAAAAGACAAACUUUUUCUUUAGACAUAAAAGAAAAAAAAAAAGCAAAGCAAAAAAAAAGAGAAAAACAGAGAAAAGGGCAAUCAAUCAAAAGGCAGCACAUGCAAAUGCAAUGGAGAAUGGGUGAGUCAGCAAUCAUACAUAAAUGUGAAGAAAGACUUACUGUGUACGGAGAUAACGACCACCUUGAUGAUAUCAUAAAUUCGACGUCAUCCAAUAAGACGUGUCGGCAGAUAAUUGGUUAUAUAAUAAUGUACGGGAUUCAAACUCUCACGUUUUCCUCCCUUCUUAAUAAGAAACCCCCUUAAUAAACUUCAAAUUGACUUGCUUAUUUAUAAAACCCUUUUCGCUACGUGCUUUCACAUAAAUUCUUCAGAUAAUCAUUUCUCGUUUUCUGAGGUUCAGACAGAAGCAGCUAUGGGGGAGAAGGUUUGUAAAUUGCCCUUUUGGUUAAAUUUGUGCUGUGCAUGCAUCGAUCGAUCGAUCUCUCAUGAUGAUAGCUUAUAGUGUGUAUGUGCAUGUAUAUGGGGUUACCUUGCUGAUUCUUUCAUGUCAGAAAUUAGUUAAAUGUUUACCUUUUGUCUUUAGUUAAUUAGCCUGCAGUAAAAUACUUUUGUAUUAUCUGUGUAAUAUUGUUUACAGAAGGUUACAAAAAUGGUGCUGAAGGUUGACCUUUCGUGCUCAAAGUGCCGCAAGAAAGUGAAGAAAGUACUUUGCAAAUUCCCACGUAAGUAUCUCUCUGAUUGCUAGCCCAAUACAUUUACAUAUAUCAUAAAGGAAAAAUAACAUCUAUACUCCUAUGAUUUAGAAAAAUAAUUAUAUAAACUCUCAAAUUUUUAACAGGGAAUAACAAUUUUUUUUUAACUAUAAUGUCCUUUAAUUUUAUCAACUCAAAAAUAUUUUUUCUAUAUCUUAUACUAAAUAGAAACAUAAUAUUAAAAUAAAUAUUUAAAUACUUAAAUUCGUUCCAACGUUAUACAAAAUAAUUUUAAUAUUAUUAAUAUAAGGUAUAUUCUAUCAAUGUUAAAGACUUAAAGCCUAUUUAACCCAAAAAUUUAUUUUAAAAAAUCGUAUAAUAAAUAAAAAUAUAUUAUUAAAAUGAAAUAAUAGUUGACAUUUUAAAAAAUUUAUGUAUUAAAAAAAUAUUCUGAUAUUAUUAGUCUACAAGAUAAAUCAAACUACUUAAAUAAAUUUGUAUGUAUUAAAAAAUUUUAAAGUAAUUUUUUAUUUAAUAUUUACAAAGGGUAUUAUAGUCAAAAAAAAAUUUUGAUGUCCUUUAUAAAAAACCUGAGUGUUUAUUUGAUCAUUUCUACAAACCUUAGUGGUGCAGGUGUUAUUUUCCCUAUAAUAUAUUAGGGUGCUGUAAAAUGUUUCCCAAUGACAUAAAAUCCCGUAUUCGUAUUUUAUUUCGUGUGUAAGUAGAAUUGCUUAUUUUGUAUUUGUAAAUGGAAAAAAUGGUUGAUGGAUGGGUGAGCUAAGAUAUUGUGUUGGGACUUUUUAAACAAAAAGAAAUACAAGAGCAGUCAUUCGAUGAGAAGACGAAUACGGUGACAAUAAAAGUAGUGAGCUGCAGUCCUGAAGAGAUCAGAGACAAGCUAUGUUGCAAAGGAGAAGGUGUAAUCAAGACUAUUGAAAUCCUAAAACCUGAUGAAAAACGUCUUAAGGAUAACAAAAAACCGCCACAACAGGAUGGGGAUAACAAAAAACCGGAUAACAAAAAACCACCACAACCGGAUGGGGAAAACCCAAAACUACCCCUGGUGCCAGUGCCGUGUUACCCGCCGGUUUGGGUAUGUUGGAAGCAAUGUUCUGAGGGUAAAGGUUGGGGACCGUGUCACCAGCUUGGCUUCGGGCAAGGGAGGCAUUGUGAUUGGUGCUAUGCAAGGCUAGUGUAUGAGAGCUGGGGUGGUAGCUGCCAUAGUAGAGUUUAUUGCAGAGGUCGCUGUUCAGAUUUCACUUAUGGUCGCUGUUCAUAUUGCACCUGUGGUCGUUGUUCAGAUUGCACCUGUGAAGGAAAUCCACCACCGUCUUGCACAAUCUCAUGAAUCAAUGAUCAUGAAUGGUGAUCGUCAGUGAUCACCAUUGUUUACUUUCUUCUAGUUCUAGUUGCUUCUUGUAUGCUGGUUUAAUCUUUAACAUUUUGGGUAAUA